AAGUUGAUUCCUUUGCGAACUAUCAGACAACCACCCCAACAGAAGCAAUUGAAGGAGAAUUCCAUGUCAUAGUCAAAAACAUUUUUAGAUAACUUUCAUCACGACCAAAUAGCUCCAAACAUAAAGAAGUGCAUACAUGCUAACAACAGUGAUAAAGUGACAAAAUGACAAGAGGAUAACCCAUGAAAGUCUCCGGCCUCUCAGCUAAAGUACUCAUAACACCAACAUUUGAUAAAUAUAAGGUGAUAGCUACUAGUUCCUCAUUCCUCUUCCUCGUCACCACCUGCAUCGCCACCACCACUUGCCUUCUUCUGGUUCUUUCUCUUCACCCGGCCUGCAGGGCCUCCGCCGAAUGGACUUGUCAGUGAGAAGUCGAUGUGCUUCUCGGAUUCAACCCUCACCAUGAACGACGGGACAUUGACGAUCUGCCUGCCAACCCUGCAAUAUGGUUUCAAGAAAAUUAUUUUAACACUUCAUUCACAAAGUGAACAAGCAGGAACAUUCAUCAAAGAUAUCACUUCACAAUGAAAUCUCAAAGUGAAUGCCGCAUAUAAACCAGACCACAAACAGUAUAACACAAGAAGCAAAUACUAACAAUAUUGACAUAAUCUCAGUUACAGAAAACAGGUUCAACAUCUUUGCUUGGUGGGGUAUUAGCAAGAUAUACAACCUACCAAUAACAUUAUGUUGCCACAGAUCCAAUAUUGACGUGGCAAUCAGACCAUAAACAGGUGCAAUGAUACAAGAUAGGCAGUGCGGUGAAUGAAAGUACAGUAGAUUUCAAAAAGAACAUGCCACAAUAAACAGAGUACAUCCUGAAAGAUGAUAAAAUUCAGACAUGCAUGUAACCAGUAUCAGGGCAACAUGUAAUUCAGACAUGCAUGUAACCAGUAUCAGGGCAACAUGUAAAUCGGACAUGCAUGUAACCAGUAUCAGGGCAACAUGUAAUUCAGACAUGCAUGUAACCAGUAUCAGGCCAACAUGUAAUUCAUAGAUGCAUGUAAUAACCAGUAACAGACCAGCAUCAGGCAACCGAUAUUAAACAACUAGUGCAAACCAUUUAGAUUUCUAGAUCAACAUGCAAAUUUAUGGAACCAUAUGCCAAAACAUGCAUUGCAAGAAAAAUAUACCAGAAGUAUACCUGAUGUGGCGUUGCCUGAUCAAGACACGGGCAUGGUGGAUGGAUUUUGCCAUGCCAGCCUUGAAGACAAGAGUCUGAAGGCGCCUUGCAAGGAAGUUCUCAGCAGUCAGGGCAAGGACGUAAUCAAGCUUGUCCUGGCCCUCAGCAAGGAGACCAUAGCGGUUCAUGCGACGGAGAAGAGCCGCGCCCUCAAAGAUACGGCGGGGAUUCUUCUCAUCCAGUGUGAGCAAGUGUCUUGCCGCAUUACGGAUCCUGCUCAAUGCAUACUGAACCCUCCAGAGCUCACGCUUGCACCUCAGUCCAUACUCACCAACCAGCUUUAGUUCUGCAUCAAGACGCUCCUUCUCAUAAGGACGCCUUGGUUUCUUGAAUGUCUUACCAUCUGCAAGAGAAAACAUUUAACUUGUAAAUAUGGAAACAAGGCAGUAAAAACAGAACAAACAUGGGCAAUUUGUAGCAUAGAGCAAGUGCCAGGUACAAAGUGGGACAACAUAUGCCACUAUGUCCAAGUGCAUUAAAAGCAGGCAAUUAUAAUAACACAUUGGCAAAAAAGAAUAUGCAACAUCUAGGCUAUGGCAUACAACAUAAUCAGGUGGCUCCAUUAUGAAGCACCACCAUCAUUUCUGUGACUAUUCUAUUGGCAUGGUAUAUACCAAAUUCAAAGCUCCCACAUGAAGGACCAGUAACAGUAGGAAGUGAAUAAUUUCCACCGUGAAACAGAUAUAGGUUUAGACUUCACUUCGGCUGGCCUGAUACUAAAGUUAUCGGUAAACCUGAUGGCUAUGGACUGCAUACCAAUAUCCCUGAAGCAAGGAACUUGUUUAAAUCUGACGAGACUACCAACUGAGCGUAAUGAGAGAGCUAACAGUAAACAAAUGUCCAGUGCUCAAGUAAGACACACCUUUAAUUAGACCUAGGGCGCGGUCCUCAUGCCAGGCACGACUCAAAUCCAGGUAUUCAGAACAACAGGCAUGCCAAAAUCUUAUGCAAACAAACCUCUCAUCCAACAACGGCAUCACGCCGACGCAAAUCAUGCACUCGCUAAUCAACCUUCCCCCUCCCCUUACAGCAACUCGGCACGCAAGACAUCACGGCUACAAAUCGCUGACCUCUCAGCAGCCAUGCCCGAAGUAAGACGCCACAGCUAAGAGAUCUCAGAGCUCUGCGUUGCGGCAAGCCGCUGCCGUAGCAGGAAGCAGAAGGCUAACCGAUAGCAACUUGCUGCAACUAAGCCUAUGCGAGCACCACCCCAUCAGAUCACGGCGAGCACGAAGACACAAAUGACUGAAUACAAUUGAGCAGAGAGCACAAGAGGGUAUGGGAGACAGGAGGAUCGUGGAGCGGUCUUACAGUUGCGGUAGAAGUUGACGUGCACCAUGGCUGGAGCUCUCUCCUCUCUCUCUCUCCCGCUGCCGCCGCCGCCGCCGCCGCUCUGUGGUCGAGUUGAUAGGAGGGAGGAAUGGGAGAGGAGAAGAAGGGGUAUUUUAUACCUGCCAGCAAAACCCUAGCGGGCUGGGGGUAUCGAGUAUGGGUCGUUCGUUGGGCCCGUUAGUGUCCAAUGUGUGUGUGUGUGGGCACGCCCCUGAAUAGGCCAGGCCCAGUCAGGCAGCGUAGUUAUUUUUGCGUUAUAAAAAUAGUUCAGUAUCCCCUCAAAAAAUAUAAAUACAGACUCAAAUAGAAUUUUGAUGAACCCACUUUGAGGUAUCUGAUAAUUAUUAUUAAAAAUUAUAUAUGAUUCUAAUGAUCUCAUUUAUGUAUAUAUAAAAAUUGCAUCCUCUGCUUUUAAAUAUAACACGUUUUGGCAGUUCAAACAUCUUGUAAAUACUCGUAGUAAAUCCUACCAUCCGGUGGUAGGUACCCUCACGUCUCAUAGACUGCCAUGUCCUGAUUGUAAUCUACAUACAUAGAGUAUACUAGCAGAAAUAAUUCUCAUGAAAUUUUGACAUGGAUGAGAAAAUAAAUAAAUAAAUAAAUAUUGCAUGUGUCUGUAAGAGGUGAGGCGGAGCCCUCGAGCCGGUUGCGGCGAGGUUUCACAGAUUGUUGUUCACGUGUUGAAGCUCGUGCAGUGUUGUCUGAGCCCGUCGGGUGACGAGGCCGGAGCGACGAGGCCCGCGUGAUGAAAUCGCGCUGUGAGGCCUUCGCGGUGAGGUCACGCGAUGAUAUUGCACAAUGAGGCUAGAGCGGCAAACCAACGAUGCGGCACGGGCAUGGUCGAUUUAUCUACAGAAGGUAGUAAUGGCAGACGUGGACAAUUUUUUGUGAUGGUAAUAUUUAUGGAUAAUUAGAUAGAUACUACCUGGUUGUAAACGGUGAGGCAUAGCCCUUGAGCCGGUUAUGGCGAGCUUUGUGGAUUCACGACCAUGCGAUGGAGUUCGCAUGGUGAGACCUCCAGAUGGGGAGGUCCAUUGGGAGAUGAAGUCGGCGCGAGGAGGCCAACGGUUAGACCUACGAUGGAGGAGCUCCAUCGGGCGUUGAGCUCGGCGUGAGGAGGCCGACAGUGAGACCUCUAGCAGAGGAGGUCCGCGCGAUAAGAUGAGGUCGGCGUGAGGAGGCCGGUGGUGAGACUGAUGACUCACAAGUAUAGGGGUCAGCCGUAGUCCUUUUGGUAAGUAAGAGUGUCAAACCCAAUGAGGAGCGGAAGGAAAUGACAAGUGGUUUUCAGCAAGGUAAUUUCUGCAAGCACUGAAAUUGUCGAUAUCAGGUAGUUUGAUAGCAAGAUAAUUUAUAACAAGUAACAAGUAAAAAUAGUAACAAUAAGUGCAGCAAGGUAGCCCAAUCCUUUCGAUGGCAAAGGACAGGACAGAAUGAUCUCAGAUAAUCAGUAAAGCGUUCUUGAUGUCACACGGGAAUUUCAUAGUCAUUUUCAUUAUGUUGGUUUGAUUCGCGUUCGCUACUUUGAUAAUUUGAUAUGUGGGUGGACCGGUGCUUGGGUGUUGUUCUUACUUGAACAAGCCUCCUACUUAUGAUUAACCCCCUCGCAAGCCUCCGCAACUACGAAAGAAGAUUUAAGAUAACAAUCUAACCAUAACAUUAAACAUAUGGAUCCAAAUUAGCCCCUUAUGGAAUAGCGCGUAAACUAGGGUUUAAGCUUCUGUCACUUUAGCAACCCAUCAUUUUAUAACUACUCCACAAUGCAUUUCCUUAGGUCCAAAGAUGGUGAAGUGUCAUGUAGUCGACGUUCACAUAACACCGCUAAGGUAAUCACAACAUACAUAUCAUCAAAAUAUCGAACGAAUAUCAAAUUCACAUGAUUACUUGCAACAUGACUUCUCCGGUGGCCUCAAGAACAAGGACAACUACUCACAAAUAUUAUUUAUGCUCGAGAUCAGAGGGAUAUUAAAUAGCAUAAUGGAUCUGAACAUAUAAUCUUCCACCAAAUAAACCAUAUAGCAUCAACUACAAGAUGUAAUCAACACUGCUAGUCACCCACGGGUACCAAUCAGAGGUUCCAGUACAAAGAUUGAACACAAGAGAUGAACUAGGGUUUUGAGAUGAGAUGGUAUUUGUUGAAGAUGUUGAUGAAGAUUUUCCUCCCAAAGAUGAGAGGGUUGUUGGUGAUGACGAUGGCUUCGAUUUCCCCCUCUGGGAGGGAAGUUCCUCCGGCGGAAUCGCUCCGCCGAAGGGCAAAAGUGCUCCUGCCCAAGUUCCGCCUCGAGACGGCGGCGCUCCGUCCUGAAUGUCCUGCCCUUAAUUUUUGUAGGUCAAAACACCUUAUAUACCAGUAGAUGGGCACCGGAGGUGGCCCGAGGGGCCCACUACCCACCAGGGUGCGCCAGGGGGGUCUGGCGCGCCCUGGUGCCUUAUGUCCACCUAGCAGCCUGGAGGAAAUAUGCCCUAGAGGCAAUAAUAAAGUUGUUAUUUUAUAUUUUCUUAUGUCAUGAUAAAUGUCUAUUAUUCAUGCUAGAAUUGUAUUAACCAGAAACUUGAUACAUGUGUGGUUAAAUAGACAAAACAGUGUGUCCCUAGUAAGCCUCUACUGGACUAGCUCGUUAAUCAAAGAUGGUUAAGUUUCCUAACCAUAGACAUGUGUUGUCAUUUGAUGAACGGGGUCACGUCAUUAGGAGAAUGAUGUGACGGACAUGACCCAUCCGUUAGUUUAGUGUAUUGAUCGUUCAGUUUUACUGCUAUUGCUUUCUUCAUGUCAUAUACAUAUUCCUUCGACUAUGAGAUUAUGCAACUCCCGGAUACCGGAGGAAUACCUUGUGUGCUAUCAAACAUCACAACGUAACUGGGUGAUUAUAAAGAUGCUCUACAGGUAUCUCCGAAGGUGUUUUUGGGUUGGCAUAGAUCCAGAUUAGGAUUUGUCACUCCGAGUAUCGGAGAGGUCACUCGUACGCGUCGGUGUUAUACAAACGAUUUUUAACCCCUUUCCGCGACGGCAUUUGGAACCAUCGCCAAGUGAGUGUGUGCGAUAGGGGGGUCCUUCCCACACGACCCAAAAAUCGUCGGGGAUAGGCCCUCCUGGGACACAGGCUGGGGUCGUGUGCGAUCGGGCGAGGCAUCGAAACCCAAUCAUUUUCGUAGGUAUGUACAUCCCACACGGUGAAUCUCAGAAAAACAUUUCCGUAGGUAUGUACAUCCAACACGGUGAAUCCCAGAAAAACAUUUCCGUAGGUAUGUACAUCCCACUCGGUGAAUCCUAGAAAAACAUUUCCGUAGGUAUGUACAUCCCACACGGUGAAUCCCAGAAAAACAUUUCCGUAGGUAUGUAUAUCACACAGAGUCAAUCCAAGGAAUACGUUUCCGUUCUUAUGUACAUCCCACACAGUCAAUUCAGGGAAAACGUUUCCGUUUGUAUGUACAUCCCACACAGUUUUAUGUGUAGGCUCGUGUGUGAAAGGUGUAACUAUCACACACGCUCUGCCUUGGUUAACUCUUUGCUUUUAUCAACUACAUCACACACGAUUUGAUGAAGAAAAUUGUGUGGCAUUGGGCUAUCCAUCGCAAGCGAUUUUACUGCUAGAACCGUUUGCAAAGGUCCAUGACACAUUUAGCAGGUUUAUUAGUUUACAAUUAAUAAUUCCAGUAUUACGCAAAUUCACAUUUCAUAUCGAACAGCUGUUUGCCAAUUUCAUAUGAGGCACAUAAAUAUAUUAUAACAUCACAGUACGAUAGCUACAUGGAAACAACACAGUACAACACAUAGCUAGUUCAACUUCAUAAGAACAGUAUAUUCAUUUCCCUAAUCGAGAUCAUCCAGGCUCGUCUUAUCCACCUCUGCUUUCAGUUCAGAAAGAACCUGUUUUGCACGGGCCAAUUGGGAAAGUGCCUCCUCCUUCGCCAACACCAUCUUAGCAAAGUCUGAUUUAAAAAAUCUAAGCUCAUUCUCCACCUUCAACUUUUUAUCCCGGAUCUUUAAAUAUUCUUCAGCGUUGACAACAGUUUCUCUAAGCCUACGUCUGUUCUCUUCCUCAUACAUGCUCCAGAGCUUCGCUAGGCACAUCUUCAAAGACAGUGGCCACUCUUGAUCAACCCACUCCAAGUAAGAACACUUCUGUUCAUCCUAUAAUAUUUAAAACUAGAUCGGUAACAAUUGUAGGGAAUGGGUUUAUAGCAACAUAGAAAAUCACCAAUGCUUAUUUUGAAAAACUGAAGAAACAUGUUAAUUAUGACAUAUCUUCUCAAAAAGAUCAAUGUGCAAAUGAAUUAAUCGCUACUGAGACAACAACCAAAUUCUGGAACAUCAGAAGCUAUAAUUAACUACAACAAUGCUACAAGUUCUUACUCAUGUACAAUAAAUAACAAAUUCAACAUUUUAUGAGGAUGGUAAAUAUAACUGCAACAACAUAGCGAUAGUGUUUGGAUGACAGCAAAUUGAUACUAACAGGUGUGUACAUGCACAAAUUUGGUAACAUAUAACUAAUAACACUAAGGCCGUCCACUAUGUAUGUCAAAACUGGGGUAAAGACAACUGUUGCUACAUCUCGCACCGGUGCCCUGCAGUGGCGAGCCGAUGCAGCGGAAAAAAUUCAGGGACCCGGACUCCGGAGCACGUAGUUGCUCUGAUGCCCAGUUCCUUCGUGCCAUAAAGAUUUAGUAUUUUACUGCUUGGCUGCUCGGAUGUGUGAACCAAAGUUGGCUGCACAAACAGCUGAAGCGGUGCCAAAUAAUUUUCUAAUGGCACCGCUGAUGAGAUGGCAACAAUUUAAGAUACUAGGUACAAACUGUGAUACUGUCUUAGGAUGCGUUUGGUUGAAGGUGUGGUAUGAAUGGGUUGGGACCGUGACAGUGUCUGAAUCACAUCUAACAAAUGAUUUGUAACAACGAAAGAGGGUCUAACUUUCUCUACACAUGCCAGAAACUUCCUCCCACUGUCCAUAGAUUCAAACGCAACUAACUUCACGCAUGGAGAUUGAUGGUGACAACGAGCAGAUAGAUCUUCAGCCACCUCGCUCCAUUUGUUGCCACUGAUGGUCCUAGGGAGCUACAAGAGGAAGAAAUGGCUCAAAUCGACCGCUGGGUAAAAAUCCUUCAUUCGAAGUCAUAGCCCGAGAGAGAGAAGAGAGGCAUACCCGGGUGGUGAAGGAGUCGUCGCCGGAGGAGGAACCGCUGGAGAGGUCUUUGAAGAAGACCAUGGCGACCCCGGCAGUAGGAUGCGAGACGGUGAGAGCGAGGAAGCGGCUAUAGCUUAGCAAGGAAGGAAGGAAGGAGGAAACAAGGGAAAUGUGACUUGUGGUCGGGGAGAAAAGGGGAUGGGGAAGGGGGGAAGGGGCGGGGGUAGAUAUUUUGGCGGUAGGCCAAAAUUUCAUAAAUGUGGAGGGAAACUUUGCGCGCGGUGUCGCCGGACCAUUCACUUUGAACGAUUGUGUGCAUCGCAAACGAUUCUUCUGCUUUACGCGCAUGGGAUGAGUUUGAUAAUUCAAAUUUUGGUGGAAAUUUCCCUGGGUACGUCAUUGCAUAAUUUAAUAUCGCUUGCUAAUUUGGGCACACAAAAUAGCGUACAGCAGACAGACCACACUUAUUGAAUCGAGCAAUUUUAGUAAUUAAACAGAGCCAGUUGACCUAAACAUUUCUCUAACAAAAGACCAGCAUUAAAAACAAAGCCUAAGUACGCAUAAUUUUAACAAAUCCGCCGCCGCGCCAGCCUAUGCAUCGCCGGUGUGAGAUGAGACGUCGAUGACUUGUCCUGGCGACAUGCCGCCGUUGGUGGACUCUGCGUCCCCCUGCCGAAGUCGGCCGCGUCCUCGUCCUUGUCCUCAUCCUCGGCGCCGCCCUCAAGGUUGUAGUAUUCGUAGUAGUGGCUGUGCCAGAGCUUGCGUUGGUACUCCGCCGCCGAUUCCUUGACGGACAGACUCUUCUCUACCUCGACCUCGGCCACGCGCAACUCCUCCUCCUGGCGCUCCUCGAUCUCUGCCGCCUCCUGCAUCUCCAGCUCCCACUCGGCGACCUCAUGAGGAAGCAGGUGCUCCAUGGCCAUCGUCGCCUUUUCAGACGUGGAUUGCCUGCUGUAGUCCGAGGUGGCCUGGAAUAUCUUAGCGUGUGCAUCCUCGAUCUUGGCAUGGAUGCCUCGACCCGAGCCAGGGCGACAUCAGCGGCACGGACGGCAGCUCGAGUGCUCUCGGCAUUNNNNNNNNNNNNNNNNNNNNNNNNNNNNNNNNNNNNNNNNNNNNNNNNNNNNNNNNNNNNNNNNNNNNNNNNNNNNNNNNNNNNNNNNNNNNNNNNNNNNNNNNNNNNNNNNNNNNNNNNNNNNNNNNNNNNNNNNNNNNNNNNNNNNNNNNNNNNNNNNNNNNNNNNNNNNNNNNNNNNNNNNNNNNNNNNNNNNNNNNNNNNNNNNNNNNNNNNNNNNNNNNNNNNNNNNNNNNNNNNNNNNNNNNNNNNNNNNNNNNNNNNNNNNNNNNNNNNNNNNNNNNNNNNNNNNNNNNNNNNNNNNNNNNNNNNNNNNNNNNNNNNNNNNNNNNNNNNNNNNNNNAGGGGGUGCGGGAAUGGGGUUCGAGAUUCAUGGAUUCGAGGGUUGCCGGCACUGGAGCAGAUGAGCCGGCGAAGCUUAAGGAGGGAGACUUAAAUAGACCCAGAUAUUUUCAUCGCAAACGGUUCCUAGAAAACAACUGCGUGUGAUGUUGUAGAUAUUUUUUAUUAGCUGUGAAAGACGAAUUUGGAGUAAAGUGACAAUGGAUGGAGUUUUAAAUGUACGAGAAAUUUUGUAGUACUAGUACAACAGUCAUGUCAAAUUUUGGAAAAUUUCAGGGGUCAUUUCACCUUUUAAGACAUUUAAGUGAUUUUCUAGCCAUUUAAUGACCGUAAUUCAAAUUUGAACUACAUCUACAUGCAACGGCUAACCAAAACGGUUUAAAAAAUCAUAUUUGUGUAUUUGUGUGCGAGUUAAUUCCAUGUGCAGUAAAUUAGAAGGAAUUUUCAAACAUAUUUGUCUCGCGACCUAGACACAUGCAUAUGUAUGCAUGGAGUGACAUGGCAUUUUAAUUCCAAAAAAUAAAAAAUAUCAGAAAGACAUGAAACCUUGGUUGAUGUAAUGUCAUGCCGCCAAGAUGAUGUGGUAAAAAAAUUGGCAUGUUUGACAAAGGUUUGGACACAAACCCCUCACAAACCGGAGCACACUAAAAGGCUCGUGGUUCCGACAGGGAACAAUGCAUGUUUGAUGACGAACGGGAGAUAGCUUCCUCUUACGGCCUUUAAUUUUUUUCUACGUCUAACAUGCACUACUACAACUGUAAUGUGAAAUUUUGGAAAAUUCUAUGGGUCAUUUGACCUUUUAAAGACAUUUAUGUGAUUUUGUAGCCAUAUUUAAUGACCGUAAUUCAAAUUUGAACUACAUCCAUAUGCAACGGUUAACCAAAAUGGUUUGAAAAAUCAUAUUUGUGUACUUGUGUGCGAGUUAAUUCCAUGUGCAGUAAAUUAGAAGGAAAUUUUCAAACAUAUUUGUCUCGCGACAUGGACACAUGCAUGCAUAUGUAUGCAUGGAGUGACAUGGCAUUUUAAUUCCAAAAAAUUUAGAAAAUAUCAGAAAUACAUGAAAUCUUGGUUGAUGUAAUGUCAUGCCACAAGAUGACGUGGUAAAAAAAAUUGGCAUGUUUGACGAAAGUUUGGACAGAAACCCCUCAUAAACCGAAGUAACUCACUAAAAGGCUCGUGGUUCCGAGAAUGAACAAUGCAUGUUUGAUGACGAACGGGAGAUAGCUUCCUCUUACGGCCUUUAAUUUUUUCCACGUCUAACGUGCACUAUUACAACUAUAAUGUGAAAAUUUGGAAAAUUCUAGCGGUCAUUUGACCUUUUAAAGAUAUUUAAGUGAUUUUCUAGCCAUAUUUAAUGACCGUAAUUCAAAUUUGAAUUACAUCUAUAUGCAACGGCUAACCAAAACGGUUUGAAAAAUCAUAUUUGUGUACUUGUGUGUGAGUUAAUUCCAUGUGCAGUACAUUAGAAGGAAUUUUGAAACAUAUUUGUCUCACGACAUGGACACAUGCAUAUGUAUGCAUGGAGUGACAUGGCAUUUUAAUUCCAAAAAAUUUAAAAAAUAUCAGAAACACAUGAAACCUUGGUUGAUCUAAUGUCAUGCCACCAAGAUGAUGUGGUAAAAAAAUUGGCAUGUUUGACGAAAAUUUGGACACACACCCCUCACAAAUCGGAGCAACUCACUAGAAGGCUCGUGGUUCCGAGAGGAAACAAUGCAUGUUUGAUGACAAACGGAGGAUAGCUUCCUUUUACUGUCUUCAAUUGUUUUACGUCUAACAUGCACUACUACAACUGUAAUGUGAAAUUUUAGAAAAUUCUAGGGGUCAUUUGACCUUUUAAAGAUAUUUAAGUGAUUUUCUAGCCAUUUAAUGACCGUAAUUCAAAUUUGAACUACAUCUACAUGCAACGGCUAACCAAAACAGUUAAAAAAAAUCAUAUUUGUGUAGUUGUGUGCGAGAUAAUUCCAUGUGCAAUAAAUUAGAAGGAAUUUUCAAACAUAUUUGUCUCACAAGAUGGACACAUGCAUACGUAUGCAUGGAGUGACAUGGCAUUUUAAUUCCAAAAAAUUUAAAAAAUAUCAGAAACACAUGAAACCUUGGUUGAUGUAAUGCCAUGCCACCAAGAUGAUGUGGUAAAAAAUAGCAUGUUUGACGAAAGUUUGGACACAAACCCCUCAGAAACCGGAGCAACUCACUAGAAGGCUCGUGUUUCCGAGAGGGAACAAUGCAUAAUUGAUGACGAACGGAAGAUAGCUUCCUCUUACGGCCUUCCAUUUCUUUCUACGUUUAACAUGCACUACUACAACUGUAAUGUGAAAUACAACUAUAAUGUGAAGGUUUAAAAAAAUACAACUGUAAUGUGAAAUUUUGGAAAAUUUCUAGGGGUCAUUUGACCUUUUAAAGACAUUUAAGUGAUUUUCUAGCCAUUUAAUGACCGUAAUUCAAAUUUGAACUACAUCUACAUGCAACGCCUAACCAUAACAGUUUGAAAAAUCAUAUUUGUGUACUUGUGUGCGAGUUAAUUCCUUGUGCAGUAAAUUAGAAGGAAUUUUCAAACAUAUUGGUCUCAUGGCAUGGGCACAUGCAUGGAGUGCCAUGGCAUUUUAAUUACAAAAAAUUAAAAAAUGAUCAGAAAAACAUGAAACCUUGCUUGAUUUAAUGUCAUGAAACCUUGCUUGAUUUAAUGUCAUGCCACCAAGAUGAUGUGGUAAAAAUUGGCCUGUUUGACGAAAUUUUUAACACACACCCAUCACAAACUGGAGCAACUCACUAGAAGGUUCGUGGUUCCGAGAGGAAACAAUGCAUGUUUGAUGACGAACGGGAGAUAGCUUCCUCUUACGGCCUUCAAUUUUUUCUACGUUUAACAUGCACUAAUACAACUAUCAUGUGAAAAUUUAGAAAAUUUCAGGGGUCAUUUGACCUUUUAAAGACAUUUAAGUGAUUUUCUAGCCAUUUAAUGACCAUAAUUCAAAUUUUAACUACAUCUACAUGCAACGCCUAACCAUAACGGUUUGAAAAAAAAUCAUAUUUUUGUGUACUUGUGUGUGAGUUAAAAAAAUCGUCAGACAAUGUAAAUAUGUGGUGUUCAAAAAAGAAAAUGUAAAGAUCUGGCAAGACAACCGGCCCCCACACGAUUGGCACUCUAUCUCGCGGCUCGAGGUUUGGUAGGUGAGUGGCGGGGAUCAUUAAUCAGACACGGUUCUAUAUUAGAAACCGUCAGCUAUUAUGUUCACACACGGAGUUUGCUGCGGGAAUCGUGUGUAAUUCAAACUAUAGUAUUCGUAAAUUCCGGCAACCGGCGUGUGUACUGUCCCCGUCGAUCUAGAUUCCGGCCGCUAAUAAAUACUACCUUGCUCAUGUCGUCCCGCCUGCAUUCUCAUCUACAUCCUCCACUCGCUGGCCCCCCAUCCCUCUCUCUCUCUCUCUCUCAAAUCUCUGCCAUGGCGCCGCCGGUCUGCCCACGCGCCGACGAGCAGUCGCCGCCCCCUGAGGACGCUCACUCGAUUAGUAGCGACGAGGACCCCUACGCGGCGCCUGACGAGGUUUCGCCGGAGCCCCCAACUUUCGAUUGGUUUUGGGGCCAAUACAAUCCUUGUUUGUGGAAGUCGCUGCCGUCGGUUGAGAAAGCCAGGCAAGUGGCGUUCAAGAAGGAGAUGGCGGAGGAGGAAGCCAGGUACCAGGCGGCAUGUAAGCCUGUGAUGCCGCGUGGAAAAAGGAGGCGACAGAGCUUUGGGGGCGGGCGCGUCGUCGUGCCAAGGAGGUGUACGAAGACAGGUACUUCGCGAGGAAGGUCAUAUGCGUUGGGCGCCUCGUCGCUGCGUGGAGGUGGGCCGAUAAGCUCCAGCGUGCCACCAACGAGGAGCUCCAGUGAGCGCCAACGAAAUGGCAAGAUCGUCCACGCGCGUCCGCCCGCAAGAGGCAGAUCGGUACGUCAAGCGCUGUGAGGCGGAGGAGGCGGAGUACUGCCUCCGCACUGGGAAGACGUCGUGCACCAGGGAGCUGCUGGCGAGGGGCUGCCGGAAUACUGGCCCCAGGAGGGAUUAUUAGUUUUAGUAUUGUUUGUUUUCAAUUUUAUGCAUCGUACCUAGUAGUUAAGUAUCAUCACGUAUAUGUGAUGAUAUUAUAUAUAUAUAUUCUAUGAUGAACUAAUGAAUAAUUAAUAUAUAUAUAUAUAUAUAUAUAUUAUGAAUUCCAUUUUCUAUCUGUUUUUGUACACUAAUUUGAAUCUAGCUGUUAUCAUCCACAUAUACAGAAUGGAAAGCGUAUACACACACAUUGAAACAAAACAUAUAAGAAUGGAAAAUAGAGUACACACAUUGAAACAAAGCGAUAAACAGAGCAAUACUAUGAUUGUUGUGAAUACAUAGCUAUCCACGUCGAAACGACUCAACGAAAUAAAACGCGUCCAUGAGACCAUGACCAGCAGCCCUUGCCUACGGUAGCUCUUGGCUCGGCCUGAACUCGUGCAGGCAUUCGUCCAAGCGGUCGACACGCUCGCGAUACAUCUGGAGCGCGAUCUCAAGCUCCAAAUUGGCUAUUUCAUCAGAGAUCACCAGCUCGAGGAUGCGACGGCCAUGUUCCUCUACUGCGCCCAGGUGGACACCUGGGCCAAGGAGGCGGUCGAGCCUACAGACCAACGCGUUGGCAUCCAGCGGGCCGUAGACAAGGCGAACGGCGGCACCCAUGCGAACGGCACGGCGGGCGUCCGGUGCAAGUACGGCGCGGCCGGCCUCUGGUGCAAGUACGACGCUGAGGGCUGUUGGGGAACGUAGUAAUUUUAAAAAAUUUCCUACGCACACGCAAGAUCAUGGUGAUUCAUAGCAACGAGAGGGGAGAGUGUGUCCACGUACCCUCGUAGACCAAAAGCAGAAGCGUUAGCACAACGCGGUUGAUGUAGUCGUAGGUCUUCAUGAUCUGACCGAUCAAGUACCGAACGCAUGGCACCUCCGAGUUCUGCACACGUUCAACUCGAUGACAUCCCUCGAACUCCGAUCCAGCCGAGCUUUGAGGGAGAGUUCCGUCAGCACGACGGCGUGGUGACGAUGUUGAUGUUCUACCAUCGCAGGGCUUCGCCUAAGCACCACUACUAUAUUAUCGAGGUGGACUAUGGUGGAGAGGGGCACCGCACACGGCUAAAAGAUCCAAGACAUAAAUUGUUGUGUCUAUGGGGUGCCCCUCUCCUCCGUAUAUAAAGGGGGAGGAGAGGGCCGGCCAAGGGGAGGAGGCGCGCCCAAGGGGGGAGUCCUACUCCCACCGGGAGUAGGACUCCUCCUUUGUUGGAAAUAUGCCCUAGAGGCAAUAAUAAAAUGGUUAUUAUUGUAUUUCCUUGUUCAUGAUAAUUGUCUAUUGUUCAUGCUAUAAUUGUAUUAACUGGAAACCGUAAUACAUGUGUGAAUACAUAGACCACAACAUGUCCCUAGUAAGCCUCUAGUUGACUAGUUCGUUGAUCAAUAGAUGGUUAUGGUUUCCUGACCAUGGGCAUUGGAUGUCAUUGAUAACGGGAUCACAUCAUUAGGAGAAUGAUGUGAUGGACAAGACCCAAUCCUAAGCAUAACACAAGAUCGUGUAGUUCGUUUGCUAAGAGCUUUUCUAAUGUCAAGUAUCGUUUCCUUAGACCAUGAGAUUGUGCAACUCCCGGAUACCGUAGGAAUGCUUUGGGUGUACCAAACAUCACAACGUAACUGGGUGGCUAUAAAGGUGCAUUACAGGUAUCUCCGAAAGUGUCUGUUGGGUUGGCACGAAUCGAGACUGGGAUUUGUCACUCCGUAUGACGGAGAGGUAUCUCUGGGCCCACUCGGUAAUGCAUCAUCAUAAUGAGCUCAAUGUGACUAAGUAGUUAGUCACGGGAUCAUGCAUUACGGAACGAGUAAAAUGACUUGCCGGUAACGAUAUUGAACGAGGUAUUGGGAUACCGACGAUCGAAUCUCGGGCAAGUAACAUACCAAUUGACAAAGGGAAUUGUACGGGAUUGAUUGAAUCCCCGACAUCGUGGUUCAUCCGAUGAGAUCAUCGUGGAACAUGUGGGAGCCAAUAUGGGUAUCCAGAUCCCGCUAUUGGUUAUUGGCCGGAGAGAUGUCUCGGUCAUGUCUGCAUGGUUCCCGAACCCGUAGGGUCUACACACUUAAGGUUCGGUGACGCUAGAGUUGUUAUGAGAAAUAGUAUGUGGUUACCGAAGGUUGUUCGGAGUCUCGGAUAGGAUCCCGGACGUCACGAGGAGUUCCGGAAUGGUCCGGAGGUAAAGAUUUAUAUAUGGGAAGUCAUCAUACGGUCACCGGAAGUAUUCGGGGGUAUGCCGGUAUUGUACCGGGGCCACCGAAGGGGUUCCGGGGGUCCACCGGGAGGGUCCACCUGCCCCGGAGGGCCUCAUGGGCUGUAGGUGGAAGGGAACCAGCCCCUAAGUGGGCUGGGCACCAACCUCCCCCUAGGGCCCAUGCGCCUAGGGUUGGGGGAAACCCUGGAGGGGGCGCCCCCCUUGACUUGGGGGGCAAGCCACCCUCGCUGGUCGCCGCCCCUCCCACCGGAUGGGAUCUAAGGGGCCGGGCCCCCUCUCCCUUGCCCCUGCAUAUAGUGGAGGGGUGGGAGGGCAGCCGCACCCCUGGCCUGGCGCUGCCCUCUCCUCCUCCAACUCCUCCUCCUCCGUAGUGCUUAGCGAAGCUCUGCCGGAGAACCACGAGCUCCAUUGCCACCACGCCGUCGUGCUGCUGGAGUUCUCCCUCAACUUAUCCUCUCCCCUUUCUGGAUCAAGAAGGAGGAGACGUCCCCGGGCUGUACGUGUGUUGAACGCGGAGGCGCCGUCCGUUGGGCGCUAGAUCGGAUCUUCCGCGAUUUGAAUCGCUGCGCGUACGACUCCAUCAACCGCGUUCUUGUAAUGCUUCCGCUUAGCGAUCUUCAAGGGUAUGAAGAUGCACCCCCUCUCUCUCGUUGCUAGCAUCUCCUAGAUUGAUCUUGGUGACACGUAGGAAAAUUUUGAAUUAUUGCUACGUUCCCCAACAGUGGCAUCAUAAGCUAGGUCUAUGCGUAGAUUCUAUGCACGAGUAGAACACAAAGUAGUUGUGGGCGAUGAUUUGUUCAAUUUGCUUACCGUUACUAGUCUUAUCUUGAUUCGGCGGCAUUGUGCGAUGAAGCGGCCCGGACCGACCUUACACGUACUCUUACGUGAGACAGGUUCCACUAACUGACAUGCACUUGAUGCAUAAGGUGGCUAACGGGUGUCUGUCUCUCCCACUUUAGUCGGAUCGGAUUCGAUGAAGAGCGUCCUUAUGAAGGGUAAAUAGCAAUUGGCAUAUCACCGUUGUGGCUUUUGCGUAGGUAAGAAACGUUCUUGCUACAAACCCAUAGCAGCCACGUAAAACAUGCAACAACAAUUAGAGGACGUCUAACUUGUUUUUGCAGGGUAUGCUAUGUGAUGUGAUAUGGCCAAAAGGAUGUGAUGAAUUAUAUAUGUGAUGUAUAGGAUUGAUCAUGUUCUUGUAAUAGGAAUCACGACUUGCAUGUCGAUGAGUAUGACAACCGGCAGGAGCCAUAGGAGUUGUCUUAAUUUAUUGUAUGACCUGCGUGUCAAUGAAAACGCCAUGUAAUUACUUUACUUUAUUGCUAACCGUUAGCCAUAGUAGUAGAAGUAAUAGUUGGCGAGACAACUUCAUGAAGACACGAUGAUGGAGAUCAUGAUGAUGGAGAUCAUGGUGUCAUGCCGGUGACGAAGGUGAUCAUACCGCGCCAUGAAGAUGGAGAUCAAAGGCGCAAGAUGAUAUUGGCCAUAUCAUGUCACUUUAUGAUUUGCAUGUGAUGUUUGUCAUGUUUACAUCUUAUUUGCUUAGAACGACAGUAGCAUAAAUAAGAUGAUCCCUCACUAAAAUUCCAAGAGACGUGUUCCCCCUAACUGUGCACCGUUGCGAAGGUUCGUUGUUUUGAAGCACCACGUGAUGAUCGGGUGUGAUAGAUUCUAAUGUUCACAUACAACGGGUGUAAGCCAGAUUUACACAUGCGAAACACUUAGGUUGACUUGACGAGCCUAGCAUGUACAGACAUGGCCUCGGAACACAAGAGACCGAAAGGUCGAACAUGAGUCGUAUAGUAGAUACGAUCAACAUGGAGAUGUUCACCGAUGAUGACUAGUCCGUCUCACGUGAUGAUCGGACACGGCCUAGUUGACUCGGAUCAUGUAUCACUUAGAUGAUUAGAGGGAUGUCUAUCUGAGUGGGAGUUCAUUAAAUAAUUUGAUUAGAUGAACUUAAUUAUCAUGAACAUAGUCAAAAGGUCUUUGCAAAUUAUGUCGUAGCUUACGCUUUAGUUCUACUAAGAGAUGUUCCUAGAGAAAAUUUAGUUGAAAGUUGAUAGUAGCAAUUAUGCGGACUGGGUCCGUAUACUGAGGAUUGUCCUCAUUGCUGCACAGAAAGCUUAUGUCCUUAAUGCACCGCUCGGUGUGCUGAACCUCGAGCGUCGUCUGUAGAUGUUGCGAAACAUCUGACAUACACGUUUUGAUGACUACGUGAUAGUUCAGUGCGUAAUGCUAACGGUUUAAAAUUGUGGCACCAAAGACGUUUUUGAAACGUCGCAGAUAAGAUGAGAUGUUCCAAAGACUGAAAUUGGGAUUUCAGACUAGUGCCCACGUCAAGAGGUAUGAGACCUCUGACAAGUUUCUUAAGCCUGCAAACUAAGGGAGAAAAGCUCAAUCAUUGAGCAUGUGCUCAGAUUGUCUGAGUACUACAAUCGCUUGAAUCGAGUGGGAGUUAAUCUUCCAGAUGAGAUAGUGAUGGUUCUCCAUAGUCACUGCCACCAAGCUAUUAGAGCUUCGUGAUGAACUAUAACAUAUCAGGGAUAGACAUGAUGAUCCUUGAGCAACUCGCGAUGUUUGACCCCGCGAAAGUAGAAAUCAAGUAGGAGCAUCAAUUGCUGAUGGUUAGUAAAACCACUAGUUUCAAGAAGGGCAAGGGAAAGAAGGGAUACUUCAUGAAACGGCAAAUCAGUUGCUGCUCUAGUGAAGAAACCCAAGGUUGAACCCAAACCCGAGACUAAGUGCUUCUGUAAUGAGGGGAACGGUCACUGAAGCAGAACUACCCUAGAUACUUGGUAGAUGAGAAGGCAGGCAAGGUCGACAGAAGUAUAUUGGAUAUACAUUAUAUUAAUGUGUACUUUACUAGUACUCCUAGUAGCACCAGGGUAUUAGAUACCGGUUCGGUUGCUAAGUGUUGGUAACUCGAAAUAAAAGGCUACAGAAUAAACGGAGACUAGCUAAAGGUGAGAUGAAGAUAUGUGUUGGAAGUGUUUCCAAGGUUGAUGUAAUCAAACAUCGUACGCUCCCUCUACCAUCGGGAUUGGUAUUAAACCUAAAUAAUUGUUAUUUGGUGUUUGCGUUGAGCAUAGACAUGAUUGGAUUAUGUUUAUCGCAAUACGGUUAUUCAUUUAAGGAGAAUAAUGGUUACUCUGUUUAUUUGAAUAAUACCUUCAAUGGUCUUGCACCUAAAAUGAAUGGUUUAUUGAAUCUCGAUCGUAAUGAUACACAUGUUCAUGCCAAAAAGAUAUAAGACAAUAAUGAUAGUACCACAUACAUGUGGCACUGCCACUUGAGUCAUAUUGGUAUAAAACGCAUGAAGAAGCUCCAUGUUGAUGAAUCUUUGGACUCACUCGUUUUUGAAAAGAUUGAGACAUGCGAACCAUGUCUAUUGGUAGAUAUGCAUGAAGAAACUCCAUACAGAUGGAUCAUUUGGACUCACUUGAUUUUGAAUCACUUGAGACAUGCAAAUCAUAACACAUGGGCAAGAUGACUGAAAGGCCUCGUUUUCAGUGAGAUGAAACAAGAGAGCAACUUGUUGGAAGUAAUACAUUUGAUGUGUGCAGUCCAAUGAGUGCUGAGGCACGCAGUGGAUAUCGUUAUGUUCUUACUUCACAAAUGAUUUGAGUAGAUGUUAAGAAUAUUUACUUGAUGAAACACAAGUCUGAAUUAUUGAAAGGUUCAAGUAAUUUCAGAAUGAAGUUGAAGAUCGUCGUGACAAGAGGAUAAAAUGUCUAUGAUAUGAUCAAAGAGAUAUCUGAGUUACGAGUUUGGCACACAAUUAAGACAUUGUGGAAAUUGUUUCACAACUAAUACCGCCUGGAACACCAUAGUGUGAUGGUGUGUCCGAACAUCAUAACUGCACCCUAUUGGAUAUGGUGCAUACCAUGAUGUCUCGUAUCGAAUUACCACUAUCGUUUAUGGGUUAGGCAUUAGAGACAACCGCAUUCACUUUAAAUAGGGCACCAUGCAAUUCCGUUGAGAUGACACCGUAUGAACUAUGGUUUAGAGAAACCUAAGCUGUCAUUUCUUAAAAGUUUGGGGCUGCGACGCUUAUGUGGAAAAGUUUCAGGCUGAUAAGCUCGAACCCAAAGCGGAUAAAUGCAUCUUCAUAGAAUACCCAAAACAGUUGCGUAUACCUCCUAUUUCAGAUCUGGAAGCAAAAGUGAUUGUUUCUAGAAACGGGUCCUUUCUCGAGGAAAAGUUUCUCUCGAAAGAAUUGAGUGGGAGGAUGGUGGAGACUUGAUGAGGUUAUUGAACCGUCACUUCAACUAGUGUGUAGCAGGGCAUAAGAAGUUGUUCCUGUGGCACCUACACCAACUGAAGUGGAAGCUUAUGAUAGUGAUCAUGAAACUUCGGAUCAAGUCACUACCAAACCUCGUAGGUCGACAAGGAUGCAUACUACUUCAGAGUGGUACGUAAUCCUGUCUUGGAAGUCAUGUUGCUAGACAACAAUGAACCUACGAGCUAUGGAGAAGCGAUGAUGGGCCCGGAUUCCGACGAAUGGCUCGAGGCCAUAAAAUCCGAGAGAAGAUCCAUGUAUAAAAACAAAGUAUAGACUUUGGAAGAACUACUUGAUGGUCGUAAGGCUGUUGGGUGCAGAUGGAUUUUAAAAGGAAGACAGACAAUGAUGGUAAGUGUCACCAUUAAGAAAGCUCGACUUGUCGUUAAGAUGUUUUCCGGCAAGUUCAAGGAGUUGACUGCGAUGAGACUUUCUCACUCGUAGCGAUGCUAAGAGUCUGUUGGAAUUAUAUUAGCAGUUACUGCAUUAUUUAUGAAAUCUUGCAGAUAGGAUGUCAAAACAUUGUUUCCUCGACGAUUUUCUUGAGGAAAGGUUGUAUGUGAUACAACCAGAAGGUUUUGUCAAUCCUGAAAGAUGCUAACAAGUAUGCAAAGCUCCAGCAAUCCUUCUAAGGACUGGAGUAAGCAUCUCGGAGUUGGAAUGUACGCUUUGAUGAGAUGAUCAAAGAUUUUGGGUUUAUACAAAGUUUAUGAGAAACUUAUAUUUCCAAAGAAGUGAGUGGGAGCACUAUAGAAUUUUUGAUGAGUAUAUGUUGUUAACAUAUUGUUGAUCAGAAAUGAUGUAGAAUUUCUGGAAAGCACCCAGGGUUAUUUGAAAAGUGUUUUUCAAUGGAAAACCUGGAUUAAGCUACUUGAACAUUGAGCAUCAAGAUCUAUAAGGAUAGAUCAAAAACGCUUAAUAGUACUUUCAAAUGAAUACAUACCGUGACAAGAUUUUGAAGGAGUUCAAAAUAGAUCAGCAAAGAAGGAGUUCUUGGCUGUGUUACAAGGUGUGAGUAUUGAGUAAGACUCAAGACCUGACCACGGCAGAGGAGAGAGAAAGGACGAAGGUCGUCCCCUAUGCUUUAGACGCAGGCUCUACAAUAUGCUAUGCUGUGUACCGCACCUGAAGUGUGCCUUGCCAUGAGUUAGUCAAGGGGUACAAUAGUGAUCCAGGAAGGGAUCACAUGACAGCGGUCGAACUUAUCCUUAGUAUCUAGUGGACUAAGGAAUUUUCUCGAUUAUGGAGGUGGAAAAGGGGUUCGUCGUAAAGGGUUACGUCGAUGCAAACUUGAACACUAAUCCGGAUGACUCUGAGUAGUAAACCGGAUUCGUAUAGUAGAGCAGUUAUUUGGAAUAGCUCCAAGUAGCGCGUGGUAGCUGCAUCUACAAGAUGACAUAGAGAUUUGUAAAGCACACACGGAUCUGAAUGUUGCAGACCCGUUGACUAAUAACCUCUCUCACAAGCGAGAUAUGAACAAACCCCAUGGGUGUUGGAUUCAUUACAAUCACAUAGUGAUGUGAACUAGAUUAUUUACUCUAGUGCAAGUGGGAGACUGUUGGAAAUAUGCCCUAGAGGCAAUAACUAAAUGGUUAUUAUUGUAUUUCCUUGUUCAUGAUAAUUGUCUAUUGUUCAUGCUAUAAUUGUAUUAACUGGAAACCGUAAUACAUGUGUGAAUACAUAGACCACAACAUGUCCCUAGUAAGCCUCUAGUUGACUAGCUCGUUGAUCAAUAGAUGGUUAUGGUUUCCUGACCAUGGACAUUGGAUGUCAUUGAUAAUGGGAUCACAUCAUUAGGAGAAUGAUGUGAUGGACAAGACCCAAUCCUAAGCAUAGCACAAGAUCGUGUAGUUCGUUUGCUAAGAGCUUUUCUAAUGUCAAGUAUCAUUUCCUUAGACCAUGAGAUUGUGCAACUCCCGGAUACCGUAGGAAUGAUUUGGGUGUACCAAACGUCACAACGUAACUGGGUGGCUAUAAAGGUGCAUUACAGGUAUCUCCGAAAGUGUCUGUUGGGUUGGCACGAAUCGAGACUGGGAUUUGUCACUCCGUAUGACGGAGAGGUAUCUCUGGGCCCACUCGGUAAUGCAUCAUCAUAAUGAGCUCAAUGUGACUAAGUAUUUAGUCACGGGAUCAUGCAUUACGGAACGAGUAAAGUGACUUGCCGGUAACGAGAUUGAACGAGGUAUUGGGAUACCGACGAUCGAAUCUCGGGCAAGUAACAUACCGAUUGACAAAGGGAAUUGUAUACGGGAUUGAUUGAAUCCCCGACAUCGCGGUUCAUCCGAUGAGAUCAUCGUGGAACAUGUGGGAGCCAAUAUGGGUAUCCAGAUCCCGCUAUUGGUUAUUGGCCGGAGAGAUGUCUCGGUCAUGUCUGCAUGGUUCCCGAACCCGUAGGGUCUACACACUUAAGGUUCGGUGAUGCUAGAGUUGUUAUGGGAAAUAGUAUGUGGUUACCGAAGGUUGUUCGGAGUCCCGGAUAGGAUCCCGGACGUCACGAGGAGUUUCGGAAUGGUCCGGAGGUAAAGAUUUAUAUAUGGGAAGUCAUCAUACGGUCACCAGAAGUAUUCGGGGGUAUGCCGGUAUUGUACCGGGGCCACCGAAGGGGUUCCAGGGGUCCACCGGGAGGGUCCACCUGCCCCGGAGGGCCUUAUGGGCUGUAGGUGGAAGGGAACCAGCCCCUAAGUGGGCUGGGCACCAACCUCCCCCUAGGGCCCAUGCGCCUAGGGUUGGGGGAAACCCUGGAGGGGGCGCCCCCCUUGACUUGGGGGGCAAGCCACCCUCCCUGGCCGCCGCCCCUCCUACCAGAUGGGAUCUAAGGGGCCGACCCCCCUCUCCCUUGCCCCUAUAUAUAGUGGAGGGGUGGGAGGGCAGCCGCACCCCUGGCCUGGCGCAGCCCUCUCCUCCUCCAACUCCUCCUCCUCCUCCUCCGUAGUGCUUAGCGAAGCUCUGCCGGAGAACCACGAGCUCCAUUGCCACCACGCCGUCGUGCUGCUAGAGUUCUCCCUCAACUUCUCCUCUCUCCUUGCUGGAUAAAGAAGGAGGAGACGUCCCCGGGCUGUACGUGUGUUGAACGCGGAGGCGCCGUCCGUUCGGCACUAGAUCGGAUCUUCCGCGAUUUGAAUCGCUGCGAGUACGACUCCAUCAACCGCGUUCUUGUAAUGCUUCCGCUUAGCGAUCUUCAAGGGUAUGAAGAUGCACUCCCUCUCUCUCGUUGCUAGCAUCUCCUAGAUUGAUCUUGGUGACACGUAGGAAAAUUUUGAAUUAUUGCUACGUUCCCCAACAUCCUUUUCCUAUUUGGAGAGGGAGAGGGAAGGAAGAGGAAGGAGGGAGGAAGGAAAGGGGGGGGGCGGCGGCCCCCCUCCCAAUUCAGAUUGGGCUUGGGGGGGCGUGCCCCCUCCCUUGCUCCUUUCCCCACCUUUCCACUAAAGCCCAUUAAGGCCCAUAUACCUCCCGGGGGGUUCCGAUAACCUCCCGGUGCUUCGGUAUUAUCCCAAUCUCACCCGAAACCAUUCCGGUAUCCAAAUAUAGUCGUCCAAUAUAUCGAUCUUUACGUCUCGACCAUUUCGAGACUCCUCGUCAUGUCCGUGAUCACAUCCGGGACCCCGAACUACCUUCGGUACAUCAAAACACAUAAACUCAUAAUAUAACCGUCAUCAAACUUUAAGCGUGCGGACCCUACGGGUUCGAGAACUAUGUAGACAUGACCAAGACACGUCUCCGGUCAAUAACCAAUAGAGGAACCUGGAUGCUCAUAUUGGCUCCUACAUAUUCUACGAAGAUCUUUAUCGGUUAAACUGCAUAACAACAUACGUUGUUCCCUUUGUCAUCGGUAUGUUACUUGCCCGAGAUUCGAUGGUCGGUAUCUCAAUACCUAGUUCAAUCUCGUUACCGGCAAGUCUCUUUACUCGUUCCGUAAUACAUCAUCCUGCAACUAACUCAUUAGUUGCAAUGCUUGCAAGGCUUAAGUGAUGUGCAUUACCGAGUGGGCCCAGAGAUACCUCUCCGACAAUCGGAGUGACAAAUCCUAAUCUCGAAAUACGCCAACCCAACAAGUACCUUCGGAGACACAUGUAGAGCACCUUUAUAAUCACCCAGUUACGUUGUGACAUUUGGCAGCACACAAAGUGUUCCUCCGGUAAACGGGAGUUGCAUAAUCUCAUAGUCAUAGGAACAUGUAUAAGUCAUGAAGAAAGCAAUAGCAACAUACUAAACGAUCAAGUGCUAAGCUAACUGAAUGGGUCAAGUCAAUCACAUCAUUCUCCUAAUGAUGUGAUCCCGUUAAUCAAAUGACAACUCUUUGUCCAUGGCUAGGAAACCUAACCAUCUUUGAUCAACGAGCUAGUCUAGUAGAGGCAUACUAGUGACACUCUGUUUGUCUAUGUAUUCACACAUGUAUCAUGUUUUCGGUUAAUACAAUUCUAGCAUGAAUAAUAAACAUUUAUCAUGAUAUAAGGAAAUAAAUAAUAACUUUAUUAUUGCCUCUAGGGCAUAUUUCCUUCAGUCUCCCACUUGCACUAGAGUCAAUAAUCUAGAUUACAUAGUAAUGAUUCUAACACCCAUGGAGCCUUGGUGCUGAUCAUGUUUUGCUCGUGGAAGAGGCUUAGUCAACGGGUCUGCAACAUUCAGAUCCGUAUGUAUCUUGCAAAUCUCUAUGUCUCCCACCUGGACUUGAUCCCAGAUGGAGUUGAAGCGUCUCUUGAUGUGCUUGGUUCUCUUGUGAAAUCUGGAUUCCUUUGCCAAAGCAAUUGCACCAGUAUUGUCACAAAAGAUUUUCAUUGGGCCCGAUGCACUAGGUAUGACACCUAGAUCGGAUAUGAACUCCUUCAUCCAGACUCCUUCAUUUGCUGCUUCCGAAGCAGCUAUGUACUCCGCUUCACAUGUAGAUCCCGCUACGACGCUUUGUUUAGAACUGCACCAACUGACAGCUCCACCGUUCAAUAAAAACACGUAACCGGUUUGCGAUUUAGAAUCAUCCGGAUCAGUGUCAAAGCUUGCAUCGACGUAACCAUUUUCGACGAGCUCUUUGUCACCUCCAUAAACGAGAAACAUAUCCUUCGUCCUUUUCAGGUAUUUCAGGAUGUUCUUGACCGCUGUCCAGUGAUCCACUCCUGGAUUACUUUGGUACCUCCCUGCUAAACUAAUAGCAAGGCACACAUCAGGUCUGGUACACAGUAUUGCAUACAUGAUAGAGCCUAUGGCUGAAGCAUAGGGAACAUCUUUCAUUUUCUCUCUAUCUUCUGCAGUGGUUGGGCAUUGAGUCUUACUCAACUUCACACCUUGUAACAUAGGCAAGAACCCUUUCUUUGCUUGAUCCAUUUUGAAUUUCUUCAAAACUUUGUCAAGGUAUGUGCUUUGUGAAAGUCCAAUUAAGCGUCUCGAUCUAUCUCUAUAGAUCUUGAUGCCCAAUAUAUAAGCAGCUUCACCGAGGUACUUGAUUGAAAAACUCUUACUCAAAUAUCCUUUUAUGAUAUCCAGAAAUUCUAUAUCAUUUCCAAUCAACAAUAUGUCAUCCACAUAUAAUAUCAGAAAUGCUACAGAGCUCCCACUCAAUUUCUUGUAAAUACAGGCUUCUCCAAAAGUCUGUAUAAAACCAUAUGCUUUGAUCACACUAUCAAAACGUUUAUUCCAACUCCGAGAGGCUUGCACCAGUCCAUAAAUGGACCGCUGGAGCUUGCACACUUUGUUAGCUCCCUUUGGAUCGACAAAACCUUCGGUUGCAUCAUAUACAACUCUUCUUCCAGAAAUCCAUUCAGGAAUGCAUUUUUGACAUCCAUUUGCCAAAUUUCAUAAUCAUAAAAUGCGGCAAUUGCUAACAUGAUUCGGACAGACUUAAGCAUCGCUACGGGUGAGAAGGUCUCAUCGUAGUCAAUCCCUUGAACUUGUGGAAAACCUUUUGCAACAAGUCGAGCUUUAUAGAGAGUAACAUUACCGUCAGCGUCAGUCUUCUUCUUGAAGAUCCAUUUAUUCUCAAUGGCUUGCCGAUCAUCGGGCAAGUCAACCAAAGUCCACACUUUGUUCUCAUACAUGGAUCCCAUCUCAGAUUUCAUGGCCUCAAGCCAUUUUGCGGAAACUGGGCUCACCAUCGCUUCUUCAUAGUUCGUAGGUUCAUCAUGGUCUAGUAACAUAACCUCCAGAACAGGAUUACCGUACCACUCUGGUGCGGAUCUUACUCUGGUUGACCUACGAGGUUCGGUAACAACUUGAUCUGAAGUUUCAUGAUCAUCAUCAUUAAUUUCCUCACUAAUUGGUGUAGACGUCACAGGAACCGGUUUCUGUGAUGAACUACUUUCCAAUAAGGGAGUAGGUACUGUUACCUCAUCAAGUUCUACUUUCCUCCCACUCACUUCUUUCGAGAGAAACUCCUUCUCUAGAAAGGAUCCAUUCUUGGCAACGAAUGUCUUGCCUUCGGAUCUGUGAUAGAAGGUGUACCCAACAGUUUCCUUUGGGUAUCCUAUGAAGACACAUUUCUCCAACUUGGGUUCAAGCUUAUCAGGUUGAAUCUUUUUCACAUAAGCAUCGCAGCCCCAAACUUUAAGAAACGACAACUUUGGUUUCUUGCCAAACCACAGUUCAUAAGGCGUCGUCUCAACGGAUUUUGAUGGUGCCCUAUUUAACGUGAAUGCGGCCGUCUCUAAGGCAUAACCCCAAAACGAUAGCAGUAAAUCAGUAAGAGACAUCAUAGAUCGCACCAUAUCUAGUAAAGUACGAUUACGACGUUCGGACACACCAUUACGCUAUGGUGUUCCGGGUGGCGUGAGUUGCAAAACUAUCCCGCAUUGUUUCAAAUGUAGACCAAACUCGUAACUCAAAUAUUCUCCUCCACGAUCAGAUCGUAGAAACUUUAUUUUCUUGUUACGAUGAUUUUCAACUUCACUCCGAAAUUCUUUGAACUUUUCAAAUGUUUCAGACUUAUGUUUCAUUAAGUAGAUAGAGAAAAGUAUGUUUUUCGUCCCUCAAGUUCCCAAAAAGUGCAGACUUCGUCCUUCAACUUUUUUGGUCUACUUUUGGUCCCUCAAGUUCCAAAACCGGUCAAGUUUCGUCCGAAUUCCGGUUUCGCUAGAAAACAGGACACGUGGCGUGGUAUUCUCUUUCCCCUCACUUGCCACGUCCGACCCGCCGUUGGGUCAAACAGACCGCCCGAGCGACGCCGUCAGCUCACUCUCCCCCUCGCGCUCUUCUCUUCCUCUUCUCUCUCUCCGUCCCGACCUUGCCGUCACCUUGCCCGGCAUCGUUGCCUUGCUCGCCGCCAGCGCCUUGUUCCCCUUCCCCGCCGGCGCCAUGCGAACUCGCGAGGAGAUCCUUGGGUGGAUGAGUGCGGACAGAAGCAGUUGUGCUCCUACACAGGUAAGUGCCAAUUUGUGAUCUAGGGUUAGGGAUUUGGGGAUUUAGGGUUCUUCCCUGGUGAUUGAGGGACUAAGGGGAGGUGCUGUUGGGUGUUGUUUGUCGUUGAAUAGGUCUAUAUGCCUGAGGAACUGAUAUCUGGCAAAGUGCCUCUCGCAAUUGAAGAUCCAGAGUUUUGCGGCAUUGAAACCGAGAGCAAUUUUAGUUGUUUUUGUGGAUUUUUGCCGGUGAGAAAGGUUGCUUAUGAAGGUGUGAACACAGGCAGAAGGUUCGUUUGUUGCAUGCGGGAGGUGAAUUUAGUUGUCACAUUCAUUUCUUUCUACCAAAUAUGCAUUGUAAUGUUCGGAUGAACUGAUGCAAUUUAUUUGAAUUUUAGGAUGAACAAGCAUGUCAUUUUCUGAUGUGGUAUGAUCCUGAAUGGCCUGCACCAGCGCAGAGAUCUAUCAAUGCACUUUAUAAGUUGAAGGCUGAAGAUUGUAAGAUGGAAUUGGAGCUCAUGUUGGCCGAUAAGAUAUCUGACAUGGAAGAAAAAGAGAAGAAAAUGCAGCAGAAGAUGAUAUCCAAGACGAAGGCAAUGAAGAUGGAGCUAAACAAGAAGGAUCUGUUUAUCUGGGUGUUAGUUGGUAGCAAUAUAGCUUUAUUUGCAGUGCUAGCUGUGCUUAUUGGACUGAAAAUGUAAUGUUUUUGUAAGUUGCACUGCUAGCUGUUGCCAAGAACUGAAUGUAAUAGGCUAAGAUGCUAUGUAUGUUAGUUUGUUGUGCUUAUAAGCACUGACCAAUUGUACCUAUUUCAGUUCACAUUAUAAGCACUGAAUUAUUCUGUACUAAAUUGUGCUCUAUGUUGUACAUAUUGGCUUGAUCUCUUUUUGGCAUUUGGAAAUCAAGUAGGCACACAUAUUCAACAGGAAGUGAGAGCAAGCACACAAUUGUAAGUGCUAGAACAAGUAGCCCAGGUUCAUCUUGUUCAGUACACAAACAACAGGUUUUCUGAAGGAAACAAAGCACAGUGUUCAAAUUUAACUGGAGACAUGAGAUAAGAAGGAAACAAACACACAUGUUUUCUGAACAUACACACUGGCCUCACUCAAGCAGCUUGCUGGGCACUUUUUUUGCUCUUUUCUUUGCUCUAGUGAAGUUGGUGUUAGCAGCUCCAGAACUGAAAUUCAUAGUAACUCCAGAGCUGCUGCUAACAUUGACAUGAACAUUCUUCACAGUGGCCUUUGAGGUAGCAGUGACCUUGCUCUGAGGUGGUUUGAAAGGCUUGAAUCUGCUAACAUUUGAAGGUGGCCUUCUUGAAGUAGAUGGAAUGUCUGAUGGAGCUUUUCUCUUGCUACUCACAUUUGUGCUUUCCUGUGAGGGUUGCACAGGACUAGCCUUUGUAGCUGGCCUAGAACUGCCCUUUGUAGUUGGCUUUGCACUAGAAUUCCUAGUAGUUGGGGCACUGCUAGCAGAUGGUUUAGGAGCAGUACACUUUGUUUUGUUGUGACCUGUGCAUUUGCAAACAGAGCAUCUACUGAUUGUGCCAACUUUAACCCAUCCUGUGCUUAGGUGCAGUGGGUUUCUCUCCCUUCCCUUUCUUCCUCUCAGUUCUUGGCCUUCCUGGCAUUUUUACAUAUCCUGGAGCUGCUGGCCUAGGUCUGUUGGAUUCAGGCCAAGUUGCCAUACCAUCUACUGGCUGGAGGAAGUGUGAGUAUGUUGCCUUGAAAUUCUCCACUGAAAAGCAGCUAGCAACAUAGCCAGAAAUGUCAUUUGUGACCAUGUGUAUAGCACACACAGCAUGUGCACAUGGUAAACCAGAGAGCUGCCAGUACCUACAGCUACAUGUCCAGUUGGUCAAAUCAACUUUGAAUCUAUACUGCACUCUUUGUGUCACUUCAAAGCAGUUGUUGCCAUUAGAUAUGGCAGUGCAAUGAGCUGACUCAUUGAUCAUCUUUUCAAGUUUUUUCAUAAUGUUUGGACAGAUAGUACCACUCCACUUUGGCCACUUGUCAUUGUUCUCUUGUAUCCUUACCAUGAUUUUCCUUCUAAUGGUCUCUUGCAUAGUAAUAACAGCAAAGAAUCUAGCUUCCACAAUCCACUUAUUAAAGCUCUCACACAUGUUGUUGUCUACACUAUCACAGUUGGAUCCUAACCUCAUCCAUGCUCUGCUCCAGUGACAUGGGUCUAUUUUAGUGACAGCCCUUGCACCCAUAACAGUUUCCUUGGCCAACUUCUCCCUAGCAUGAUUAAACAGAGCUACAUUUGAUGCUUUUGCACAUCUCCAGAACAGUUUCUGCCAGUCCUUGUUUCUGAAUUUAAGUCUCCAGUUAGCAUAUAUAUGUCUGGCACAAUUCCUAUGCUCAGCCAAUGGUGCCCAGUUCUGAACUGCUGUUAUAAUUCCCUGAAAAAAUAAAAAAUAAAUUGUUAAUUAGCAUUUCCAAUUUGCAAAAAGUAGCAAUAAAUUAUGGAGAUCUCUAAAUUAUGUAGCACUCACUUUCUGCUGGUCAGAUAUGAACACCCAGCCUUGACCAUCUUCCACUUCCAAAUCUCUAAACAGUAAAUCACAGAACCAAUCCCAUGAGUCAUUAUUCUCCUUCUCAACUACUGCCCAUGCAAUUGGGUACAUUUGGUUAUUUGCAUCCCUCCCUAUAGCACAGAGCAGCUCUCCAUUUGUUGCUCCUUUGAAAAAACAUCCAUCCAUUCCUACUACUUUUCUACAACCUGCCUUGAAACCUUCUUUCAGAGCAGCCAAGCACACAUACAUUUUCAGAAAUGUCGGUACUCUUUCCUUUGGAUCAAGUUUGACAACAACAGUGCUUCCUGGAUUGCUCCUCAGCAAUUCCAACUGAUAAUCAAACACUUUUGAGUAUUGGAACUUGGUGGAAUCAUACACUCUCUGCUUCACAAUUUGUUUUGCUCUCUUAAUUUGUGAUGUGCUCACAUUUGCAAACAUGUCCUCUUGCACAUGUGCUUUCAAGCUGUCAAUCUUCCAUCCUGGGUGCCCUCUAAUGAGCUUAUCAUAUUUUUGUGCAAUCCUCACUAAAGUGACCAGCUUGUUGUCCUUCCUUUUUGGGCAACAAUGUUUAUCUAUGAAAGAUGUCACCUGCCAACUAUUGCACCUACUUGUCCUACUUAGUAAACAGAACCAGGGACAUGUCCCCCAAUCACACUCUGCUCUGCACCUUACAGAAUCAUUUUUCUUAAACCUAAUUAACCUUCUGUGAUGCAGUCCAUAAGUAAUUAUUGCUUUUCUGAACUCUUCCUUUGAUUCAAAUUUCAUUCGAAGACAGAACUCUGGUACUUCUCCUCUGUCUUUGUACACAGGAUAUUUUUUUGGUUUGCUGAUAGCCUCUCCAUCACUGUUUUCUUCAAAAGAGUCAUCAAAAUCUGAGCUGUCUGAGUAGCUUUCAGCAGCUGCAUCCUCUCCAACAUUUUCCCUUGAACCUACUGCUGCAUCUGUAAUGAACACUUCAUCUAAAAUGUCAAUGUUGCUAGCCCUGAGUUUCUUCUUGUACUCUACAUAGUCAGCAUUGAUCUUUCUUGCUUCUUCAUCAUCCUCAGAUGCUGACUCAUCAUCAGGUAUAUAAUCACUGUCCUCUUCAUCAGACUCUCCAUCUUGUGCAUCAGUAUUCCCAUCUAAUCUGGGCACUUGCUCUUCUAGCAUAACUACACUUAAAGGGGUGAACUGUUCCUCUUCCUCUCUAGCAGAGCAUGCUGUUGCAACUGUUUCUUCCCCAUCAGCAGGAGCAUGCUUCUCAACAUACACAUCUGCAACUCCUCCAUCACAAACAAACUCAGCCAUCUUAAGAACAGUGUUGUCAUCAUGCAGAAAAACAAGUCCAUCAUUCAUCUCUUUUCCUGGAACUAACCAAUAUAACUGACAUUGUAUCCCCUCCACAUCAGUGCAAUGAUCUCUUAAAUGCCCCAAAAGCUCGGGCAAAGAAAGCUUAUCUCUGUCAAUGUCUGACAUAGCUUCACUGCCUCCCAAAUACAUCAUGUGGUUCCCAUUCUUCACAAAUUCGCCAUUAUAAUGGAACAUGACAUGAAUUAAAUCCAGAGGAUCCAUUACUCCCUACAAUAGAUGGACACAAAUUUCAGAUUCGGCUACAACCUAAGUGGAUGGCAUCUACCUACGAAUCCUAAACAAUAUACGCAAAAAAACAUACCUGAAGGUCUGCCGGUGGUCGCUGUCCUGAUAGUUCUCGUCAUCGCCGGUGUAUACAGAUCGGUGCCGCUGCGUAGAUCUGCGCCUAGGUAUACUGCAUCGGCGCCGCCGUAGCUUUUCUCAAGGGCGCCGCCAUCCCUGGCUCCGACGCCAACGCCGACCACCACGCCAAAUCGGGAUCCGCCGCCGCCAAGCCUAGGGUUUGGGAGAGAGGUCACAGAGGAAAGGGAAAGGGGGAGAGUGAGCUGACGGCGUCGCGCGGGCGGUCUGUUUGACCCAACGGCGGGUCGGACGUGGCAAGUGAGGGGAGAGAGAAUACCAUGCCACGUGUCCUGUUUUCUAGCGAAACCGGAAUUCGGACGAAACUUGACCGGUUUUGGAACUUGAGGGACCAAAAGUAGACCAAAAAAAGUUGAAGGACGAAGUCUGCACUUUUUGGGAACUUGAGGGACGAAAAACAUACUUUUCUCAAGUAGAUAUACCCAUAUCUGCUUAAAUCAUCUAUGCAGGUGAGAAAAUAACGAUACCCGCCGCGAGCCUCAACAUUCAUUGGACCACAUACAUCAGUAUGUAUGAUCUCCAAAUCAGUUGCUCGCUCCAUAGUUCUGGAGAACGGCGUUUUAGUCAUCUUGCCCAUGAGGCAUGGUUCGCAAGUACCAAGUGAUUCAUAAUCAAGUGAUUCCAAAAGUCCAUCAGUAUGGAGUUUCUUCAUGCGCUUUACACCAAUAUGACCCAAACGGCAGUGCCACAAAUAAGUUGCACUAUCAUUAUCAACUCUGCAUCUUUUGGCUUCAACAUUAUGAAUAUGUGUAUCACUACUAUCGAGAUUCAUCAAAAAUAGACCACUCUUCAAGGGUGCAUGACCAUAAAAGUUAUUACUCAUAUAAAUAGAACAACCAUUAUUCUCAGAUUUAAAUGAAUAUCCGUCUCGCAUCAAACAAGAUCCAGAUAUAAUGUUCAUGCUCAAUGCUGGCACCAAAUAACAAUUAUUUAGGUCUAAAACUAAUCCCGAAGGUAGAUGUAGAGGUAGCGUGCCGACGGCGAUCACAUCGACUUUGGAACCGUUUCCUGCGCGCGUCGUCACCUCGUCCUUAGCCAGUGUCCGCUUAAUCCGUAGUCCCUGUUUCGAGUUGCAAAUAUUAGCAACAGAACCAGUAUCAAAUACCCAGGUGCUACUGCGAGCUCUGGUAAGGUACACAUCAAUAACAUGUAUAUCACAUAUACCUUUGUUCACCUUGCCAUCCUUCUUAUCCGCCAAAUACUUGGGGCAGUUCCGCUUCCAGUGACCAGUCUGCUUGCAGUAGAAGCACUCAGUCUCAGGCUUAGGUCCAGACUUGGGUUUCUUCUCCUGAGCAGCAACUUGUUUGCUGUUCUUCUUGAAGUUCCCCUUCUUCUUCCUUUUGCCCUUUUUCUUGAAACUGGUGGUCUUAUUGACCAUCAACACUUGAUGCUCCUUCUUGAUUUCUACCUCCGCAGCCUUUAGCAUUGCGAAGUUCAUCACGAAGCUCUUGUAGCUUGGUGGCAGUGAUUGAAGAAUUCUAUCAAUGACGCUAUCAUCCGGAAGAUUAACUCCCAGUUGAAUCAAGUGAUUGUUAUACCCAGGCAUUCUGAGUAUAUGCUCAUUGACAGAACUAUUCUCCUUCUUGCAGCUGUAGAACUUAUUGGAGACUUCAUAUCUCUCAAUCCGGGCAUUUGUUUGAAAUAUUAACUUCAACUCCUGGAACAUCUCAUAUGCUCCAUGACGUUCAAAACGUCGUUGAAGUCCCGGUUCUAAGCCGUAAAGCAUGGCACACUGAACUAUCGAGUAGUCAUCAACUUUGCUCUGCCAAACAUUCAUAACAUCUGGUGUUGCUCCUACAGCAGGUUUGGCACCUAGCGGUGCUUCCAGGAUGUAAUUCUUCUGUGCAGCAAUGAGGAUAAUCCUCAAAUUACGGACCUAGUCCGUGUAAUUGCUACCAUCAUCUUUCAACUUUGCUUUCUCAAGGAACGCAUUAAAAUUCAACGGAACAACAACACGAGCCAUCUAUCUACAACAAACAUAGACAUGCAAAAUACUAUCAGGUACUAAGUUCAUGAUAAAUUUAAGUUCAAUUAAUCAUAUUACUUAAGAACUCCCACUUAGAUAGACAUCCCUCUAAUCAUCUCAGUGAUCACGUGAUCCAAAUCAACUAAACCAUAACCGAUCAUCAUGUGGAAUGGAGUAGUUUUCAAUGGUGAACAUCACUAUGUUGAUCAUAUCUACUAUAUGAUUCAUGCUCGACCUUUCGGUCUCAGUGUUCCGAGGCCAUAUCUGCGUAUGCUAGGCUCGUCAAGUUUAUCCUGAGUAUUCUGCGUGUGCAAAACUGGCUUGCACCUGUUGUAGAUGGACGUAGAGCUUAUCACACCCGAUCAUCACGUGGUGUCUGGGCACGAUGAACUUUGGGGAGAACACUUUUAUCUUGAAAUUUAGUGAGAGAUCAUCUUAUAAUGCUAUCGUCAAUCAAAGCAAAAUAAGAUGCAUAAAAGAUAAACAUCACAUGCAAUCAAUAUAAGUGAUAUGAUAUGGCCAUCAUCAUCUUGUGCUUGUGAUCUCCAUCUCUGAAGCACCGUCAUGAUCACCAUCGUCACCUGCGCGACACCUUGAUCUCCAUCAUAGCAUCGUUGUCGUCUCGCCAACUAUUGCUUCUACGACUAUCGCUACCGCUUAGUGAUGAAGUAAAGCAAUUACAGGGCGAUUGCAUUGCAUACAAUAAAGCGACAACCAUAUGGCUCCUGCCAGUUGUCGAUAACUCGGUUACAAAACAUGAUCAUCUCAUACAAUAAAUAUAGCAUCAUGUCUUGACCAUAUCACAUCACAACAUGCCCUGCAAAAACAAGUUAGACGUCCUCUACUUUGUUGUUGCAAGUUUUACGUGGCUGCUACGGGCUGAGCAAGAACCGUUCUUACCUAUGCAUCAAAACCACAACGAUAGUUCGUCAAGUUAGUGCUGUUUUAACCUUCUCAAGGACCGGGCGUAGCCACACUCGGUUCAACUAAAGUUGGAGAAACUGACACCCGCCAGCCACCUGUGUGCAAAGCACGUCGGUAGAACCAGUCUCGCGUAAGCGUACGCGUAAUGUUGGUCCGGGCCGCUUCAUCCAACAAUACCGCCGAACCAAAGUAUGACAUCCUGGUAAGCAGUAUGACUUGUAUCGUCCACAACUCACUUGUGUUCUACUCGUGCAUAUAACAUCAAUGCAUAAAACUGGCUCGGAUGCCACUGCCGCCCCCCUCCCAAUUCGGAUUGGGCUUGGGGGGCGCACCCCCUCCCUUGAUCCUUUCCCCUCCUUUCCACUAAAGCCCAUUAAGGCCCAUAUACCUCCCGGGGGGUUCCGAUAACCUCCCGAUGCUUCGGUAUUAUCCCGAUCUCACCCGGAACCAUUCCGGUAUCCAAAUAUAGUCGUCCAAUAUAUCGAUCUUUACGUCUCGACCAUUUCGAGACUCCUCGUCAUGUCCGUGAUCACAUCCGGGACUCCGAACUACCUUCGGUACAUCAAAACACAUAAAUUCAUAAUAUAACCGUCAUCAAACUUUAAGCGUGCGGACCCUACGGGUUCGAGAACUAUGUAGACAUGACCGAGACACGUCUCCGGUCAAUAACCAAUAGCGGAACCUGGAUGCUCAUAUUGGCUCCUACAUAUUCUAUGAAGAUCUUUAUCGGUCAAACCGCAUAACAACAUACGUUGUUCCCUUUGUCAUCGGUAUGUUACUUGCCCGAGAUUCGAUCAUCGGUAUCUCAAUACCUAGUUCAAUCUCAUUACCCGCAAGUCUCUUUACUCGUUCCAUAAUACAUCAUCCCGCAACUAACUCAUUAGUUGCAAUGCUUGCAAGGCUUAAGUGAUGUGCAUUACCGAGUGGGCCCAGAGAUACCUCUCCGACAAUCGGAGUGACAAAUCCUAAUAUCGAAAUACGCCAACCCAACAAGUACCUUCGGAGACACCUAUAGAGCACCUUUAUAAUCACCCAGUUACGUUGUGACGUUUGGCAGCACACAAAGUGUUCCUCUGGUAAACGGGAGUUGCAUAAUAUUAUAGUCAUAGGAACAUGUAUAAGUCAUGAAGAAAGCAAUAGCAACAUACUAAACGAUCAAGUGCUAAGCUAACUGAAUGGGUCAAGUCAAUCACAUCAUUCUCCUACUGAUGUGAUCCCGUUAAUCAAAUGACAUCUCUUUGUCUAUGGCUAGGAAACAUAACCAUCUUUGAUCAACGAGCUAGUCUAGUAGAGGCAUACUAGUGACACUCUGUUUGUUUAUGUAUUCACACAUGUAUCAUGUUUCCGGUUAAUACAAUUCUAUCAUGAAUAAUAAAGAUUUAUCAUGAUAUAAGGAAAUAAAUAAUAACUUUAUUAUUGCCUCUAGGGCAUAUUUCCUUCAAGGGCCUCUUCCCACUCCUGACGAGGAAUGGGGGUACUGAUGGGACGUGUACCCAGCUGCGAUGUUGUGUCGACAGCAGGCAAGCGCCGAUGGAUCCGCUCUUGCUGUGCGGCGUUGUAACGCCCACGAUGCGGCUAUAUCUCCCACGUGUCGAGGCACGACUUAGAGGCAUAACCGCAUUGUAUGUAUUGUCGCAAGAAGGGUCAUCUUCACACAAUCCCAUGUAAUGAACAAGAAUGGGAUAACGAGAGUUGGCUUACCAUUGCCACUUCACACAAUACAUAAAUUAAUUCAUACAUCAUCCAAAAUCCACACAUAGACCGACUACGGUCAAAACCAAAUGAAAAUAAGAUAACCCCAAAUGCUAGAACCCCGAUCGUCCCAACUGGGCUCCACUACUGAUCAUCCGGAAAUGAAACAUAGUAACGACCACGUUCCUCGUCGAACUCCCACUUGAGCUCGGUUGCGUCACCUGCACUGGUAUAGUCGGCACCUGCAACUGUUUUGGUAGAAUUUGUGAGUCACGAGGACUCAACAAUCUCACACCCGCGAGAUCAAGACUAUUUAAGCUUGUAGGAAAGGAUGGAGUAAUGAGGUGGAGCUGCAGCAAGCACUAAGCAUAUGGUGGCUAACAUACGCAAAUGAGAGCGAGAAGAGAAGCAACGCAACGGUCGCGAAACUAGAAAUGAUCAAGAAGUGAUCCUGAAACUACUUACGUUCAUGCAUAACUCAAACCGUGUUCACUUCCCGGACUCCGCCGAAAAGAGACCAUCACGGCUACACACACAGUUGAUGUAUUUUAAUUAAGUCAAGUGUCGAGUUCUCUACAACCGGACAUUAACAAAUUCCCAUCUGCCACAUAACCGCGGGCACGGCUUUCGAAAGAUAAUACCCUGCAGGGGUGUCCCAACUUAGCCCAUUAUAAGCUCUCACGGUCAACGAAGGAUAAACCUUCUCCCGGGAAGACCCAAUCAGUCUCGGAAUCCCGGUUUACAAGACAUUUCGACAAUGGUAAAACAAGACCAGCAAAGCCGCUCGAAUGUGCCGACAAAUCCCGAUAGGAGCUGCACAUAUCUCGCUCUCAGGGCACACCGGAUGAGCCAGACGUCGGGUUGGCAUAGACCCUGGUUGCCCAAGGGGCGCCGGACAUCGCUCGGUUUGGGCCAGCACUCGAAGGAGCACUGGUCCGGGGGUUUAAAAUAAAGAUGACCCUUGGGUUCGCGAAAACCCAAGGGAAAAAGGCUUAGGUAGGCAACUGUAAAACCAAGGUUGGGCCUUGCUGGAGGAGUUUUAUUCAAGGCGAACUGUCAAGGGGGUCCCAUAAAUCACCCAACCGCGUAAGGAACGCAAACUCAAGGAACAUAAUACCGGUAUGACGAAAACUCGGGCGGCAAGAGUGGAACAAAACACCAGGCAUAAGGCCGGGCCUUCCACCCUUUACCAAAUAUAUAGAUGCAUUGAUUAAAUAAGAGAUAUUGUGAUAAUCCAAAAUAUCCAUGUUCCAACAUGGAACCAACUUCAACUUCACCUGCAACUAGCAACGCUAUAAGAAGGGCUGAGCACAAGCGGUAACUUAGCCAAACAACGAUUUGCUAGGAAAGGAUGGUUAGAAGCUUGACAUGGUAAUAUGGGAGGCAUGAUAUAGCAAGUGGUGGGUAGCGCAGCAUAGCAAUAGAACGAACAACUAGCAAAGCAAAGAUAGAAGUGAUUUCGAGGGUAUGGUCAUCUUGCCUGCAAGGUUCUCAGAGUUGUCGAAAGCUUGAUCCUCGUAAGCGUACUCAACAGGUUCCUCGUUCACGAACUCGUCUCCCGGCUCUACCCAAAGCAAGAACACAAACAAUGGAACCACGAUCAAUCACGGGAGAUGCACAAGGAACAUGAUGCAAUACAUGCAUGAUAUGCGAGAUGUGAUAUGCGAUGCAUAUGCGUGCUCCGGAAGAAAAAGGAUGAACAAGGCAGCAACUUGGCAAACCAAGUAUUCCACUGGAAAGAUGAGAUGAUUUCGGUCAAAAUCGAUAUAAAGAUCACCGGAAACGGAUGCACGGUUUGCAAAUGGCGAGGAAAACAAGAAUGACACGAUUCUGCGAUUAACAACAUAAUAGCACUUAGAAUACAUCAAAUAACUAUACUACCGCACCCCAACAUAGCAACAAAACAUAAGGUAGUGAUCUACAAGAGAUGCUUGCCAAAAGAUGAACACUGAGCUACGGCUAGAUCACACAGUAACAGGCUCAAACAAGCAUGGCAAAAGUGCAAAAGAUAUCAGCUUCACAGACUAGGUGAAAAUACUGAACAUGGCUGAAACAUCAUCAGGUAGCAAUGUUCAGAGCAAGCAAAACACAUGCUACAGGAACUUAUCAUAGCGAAACAAGGCAUGGAAUGAAUCUACUAAAUGCAUAGAACAAAAGUCCUUUACUGACCAUGAGCCAAAAAGGAUCAGAAGAUAUGAUGGCACCCAUGUAAACAUAGCAAGUUUCGUUAACAGGUUUCAGACUUAGCAGAAAACAGAGCAUGGCAUUAACAGAAUUAUGAAGGCAUCUUUGUGAGCUCGAUUCACUUAUCACAAAGCAAUGCAUGACAAAACAAGCAUACCUACAGCAAGAUGGCAUGUUCAUGAAGCUAUCCAUGGCAAGAGCAAGUUCAUAGCAUGUAUGGAUAAACUACAACAACCUUGGAAAAAUUGAAUAUCAUGUUAACAUUCUGCCAAGAAUAGUUUAUAUCAGAAGUAGAGAAAUAUUAGGACAUGCUAUGGCACUCCAUAAUUGCAAACAGGGGCAUGGAUGGAUAAAGCACAACUAUAUCUACAAAACAUUCUUACUGAACAUACCCAAAAGAAGUAUGGAUCUCACUGUAGACACAUGGAUACAUGGCAUCAAAAUAACAACAGGUAAAAGACUUGGCAAAAUCCUAAGUCCCUGAAAACAGAAACAUCACGAAGCCUAGUUUGCAUGCUUGUGAUAGUCACCACAUAGAUCAAACAAAUACAUGGCAUACACCCCUGUAAAGAUGGCAUGACAUAGAUCAAAACACUUGUAGAGCUCAUGCCCAUAAGAUGCACACAUCAAAUGCUACAAAAAUAAUAAAACAUCAAGUUCUGAUAAGUAACAGCAGUAAACAUCAUAUAGCACUCUUGCACCAGAGAUUUGGGCAUCAAGAUGGACUCAAUCGAGCAUGGCACAGUGGAACAAAAUGAAGAGCAUCUCGUGAUGAACAUUUUGAUAUAUCAUGCGCAUGAAUUGGAGCCGUAUACAAGGAGAUAUGCCAUGAUGAACAGAGCAACAUAACGGGAUAUAAUCGGGACUUGGCAGAAAAACGAGGGGAAAACAACCUUGUCAGAUCCAGAUCCGGCGCGAAAUUCGAGGUUCACCGGGGCGCUCGCCGGAGAUGGGGAAGGAGGAGGGCAGCCGGAUCCGGUGAGGUUGCGGGCCGCGGGGUCGNNNNNNNNNNNNNNNNNNNNNNNNNNNNNNNNNNNNNNNNNNNNNNNNNNNNNNNNNNNNNNNNNNNNNNNNNNNNNNNNNNNNNNNNNNNNNNNNNNNNNNNNNNNNNNNNNNNNNNNNNNNNNNNNNNNNNNNNNNNNNNNNNNNNNNNNNNNNNNNNNNNNNNNNNNNNNNNNNNNNNNNNNNNNNNNNNNNNNNNNNNNNNNNNNNNNNNNNNNNNNNNNNNNNNNNNNNNNNNNNNNNNNNNNNNNNNNNNNNNNNNNNNNNNNNNNNNNNNNNNNNNNNNNNNNNNNNNNNNNNNNNNNNNNNNNNNNNNNNNNNNNNNNNNNNNNNNNNNNNNNNNNNNNNNNNNNNNNNNNNNNNNNNNNNNNNNNNNNNNNNNNNNNNNNNNNNNNNNNNNNNNNNNNNNNNNNNNNNNNNNNNNNNNNNNNNNNNNNNNNNNNNNNNNNNNNNNNNNNNNNNNNNNNNNNNNNNNNNNNNNNNNNNNNNNNNNNNNNNNNNCGGCGGGCGGCGACUCGGGCCCCGCGGGCCCUGGCGGCGGAGGAGAGAGAGGGGGCCGGCGGCGGUGACGUGACGAGGCGGGAUUGGCCGGGGGCUACGGCGUGGACGUGUCCGACGGCGGGGUGGACGUGUCCGGCGGCGGGAGGAGGAAGAGGCUAGGGUUAGACCGCGGAUUUGUAGGAGGGUGCACAUAUUUAUAGGUAGAGGGAGCUAGGAGACUCCAAAUGGAGUGCGGUUUUCGCCCACACGAUCAUGAUCGAACGACCGAGAGCAUGGAGGGGACUUAGAUGGGUUAUUGGCUGUUUGGAGGGGUGUUGGGCUGCAACACAUUAAAGGCCUUUGCGGUUACUCGGUUAACCGUUGGAGCAUCAAACGACCUCCAAAUGGAACGAAACUUGACAGGUGGCCUACCGGUGGUGUACCAAGGCCACUUGGCAAACCUCGGUCCAUUCCGAGAAUGUUUAACACCCGCUCACGAAAAGAGACAAGAGGGGUGCGCCGGUGCGUAUGGGAGUGUCGGAUUGCAAAACGAACAACGGGGAAAAUGCUCGGAUGCAUGAGACGAACACGUAUGCAAAUGAGAUGCGCAUGAUGACAUGAUAUGAGAUGCAUGACAUGAACAAAAUGCAAAACGAAAGACAAAACCCGACCACGAAGGGAAUAUCAUAACACAUAGCCGAAAAUGGCAAGAGUUGGAGUUACAAAUAUGGAAAGUUACAUUCGGGGUGUUACAACACUCCACCACUACGAGAGGAUCUCGUCCCGAGAUCUAGGACUGAAAGAACUCCGGAUAUUCGGAACGGAGGUGGUCCUUGCGUCCCAGGUGGCUUCUCGGUCGGAAUGGUGCGACCACUUCACUUUCGGGAAUUUGAUUGACUUGUUGUGAGUCUUGCGCUCAGUUUCUUCAAGAAUAGCAACGGGGUGCUCAUGAUAAGACAGAUCUUCUUGGAGAUCAAUCUCUUCGAAAUUGAUGGUACGCUCAGGAGUCUUGAAGCACUUGCGGAGCUGUGACACGUGGAACACAUUGUGCACGUUCGCGAAGUUGGAGGGAAGCUCAAGUUGAUAGGCGAGGUCGCCUCUUUUGCCAAUGAUCUUGAAAGGACCCACGUAUCUAGGGGCAAGCUUCCCUUUGAUACCGAAGCGACGAGUGCCUUUCAUUGGAGAGACGCGGAGGUAGACAUGGUCUCCGAUCUCGAAAGCCAAGUCACGGUGCUUGCUAUCAUAAUAACUCUUCUGGCGCGAUUGCGCGGCUUUGAGAUUUUCACGGAUGACUUUACACAUUUCUUCAGCCUCUGUGAUUAAGUCAUUGCCAAGAAGUUGGCGUUCACCAGUAUCUGACCAAUUGAGAGGAGUACAGCACUUUCUGCCAUAGAGAAUCUUGAAUGGGGCCUUGCCUGAACUCGCUUGGAAGCUGUUGUUGUAGGAGAACUCGGCAUAUGGAAGACAAUCUUCCCACUUCAUGCCAAAGGAAAUGACACAAGCCCUGAGCAUAUCUUCAAGGAUUUGAUUGACUCGCUCGACUUGGCCACUAGUUUGAGGAUGGAAAGCUAUGCUGAAGCAAAUGUUGGUGCCCAUGGCCUUCUGGAAGGAGUCUCAGAACUUAGAAGUGAAAAUGCUUCCACGAUCUGAAGAUAUCAAUUGUGGAAUGCCGUGCAAGGAGACAAUCCUGGAGGUGUAUAGCUCUGCCAACUGAGCUGCUGUGAUAGAUUCUUUGAUUGGAAGGAAAUGAGCCACUUUUGUAAGCUUGUCGAUGACAACGAAGAUAGCAUCAUUUCCGCGCUUGGACUUAGGAAAUCCAGUCACGAAGUCCAUUUCGAUAUGAUCAAACUUCCAUUCUGGAAUAGUAAGAGGUUGGAGGAGACCAGCUGGUCGUUGGUGUUCUGCUUUCACCCUUCGACAGACAUCACAUUCGUUCACGAAUUGAGCGAUUUCUCGCUUCAUUCGAGUCCACCAAUACGACUGCUUGAGGUCAUGGUACAUCCUCGUACUUCCAGGAUGAAUGCAAAGAAGAGAAUUGUGUGCCUCGUUCAUAAUGACUUUCCUUAGAUCACCUUUAGGAACCACAAUCCGGUCCUCAAAGAAUAAAGUGUCUCUGUCAUCAAUGCGAUAGCACUUGUAUUUGGAAAGACCCUUGUCGAUACCACGUUUCACCUUCUUCACCAUGGUAUCCAGGAGUUGUGCCUCACGAAUUUGAUCUUCCAAAGUAGGAGAGACUAGGAGGUUGGCAAGAAAGCCUUGAGGAACAACUUGGAGAUUCAGCUUGCGGAAAGCUUCGCAAAGGUCCGGUUGGAAUGGCUUGAGAAUUAAACUGUUGCAAUAAGCCUUCCUGCUCAAGGCAUCUGCAAUGACGUUGGCCUUGCCUGGAGUAUAUUCAAUACUCGGAUUGUACUCUUGAAUCAUCUCGACCCAUCGAGUUUGUCUGAGGUUGAGGUUGGGCUGAGUGAAGAUGUACUUGAGACUCUAGUGAUCGGUGAAUAUGCCCACUUUUCUUCCCAACAAGAGAUGUCUCCAUGUUAUUAAUGCAUGGACAACUGCCGCCAACUCAAGAUCGUGAGUGGGGUAGUUCUUUUCGUUGGGCUUCAACUGAUGAGGUAUAGGCCACAACUUUCUUCUCUUGCAUUAACACAGAGCCGAGACCUUGAAGAGAAGCAUCACAGAAAACUUCGAAUGGCUUGGAUUCGUCAGGAGGAGUCAAGACAGGAGCUGUGAUGAGUUUCUCUUUGAGAGUGUUGAAAGCAACGUCACACUCAGGAGUCCAGACAUACUUCACAUGCUUCUGGAGGAGGUUGGAAAGAGGCUUUGCAAUCUUAGAGAAAUUCUCAACGAAUCUUCGGCAAUAGCUUGCAAGACCAAGAAAAUUGCGAAGCUGCUUGACAUUCUGAGGAGGUUCCCAAUUCACAACUGCAGACACCUUCUCGGGAUUAACAGCGAUGCCCUUGGCAGAGAUAAUAUGACCAAGGUAAAGAACUUCAUCAAGCCAAAACUCACAUUUGGAAAACUUCGCAUAGAAAUGAUACUCUCUGAGCUUGUCGAGCACCAAUCGCAAAUGUUUGGCAUGAUCCUUCUUAUUCUUGGAGAAGACCAAGAUAUCAUCGAGAUACACCAGGACGAAUUCAUUGGUAUAGGGGUUAAAGAUGAAAUUCAUCAUUCGAGAGAAUGUUGGAGGAGCAUUGACAAGGCCGAAAGACAUGACAAUAUAUUCAUAAGAACCAAAGCUUGUUCUGAAUGCUGUCUUGGGAAUAUCUUCUUCACGAAUGCGAAUCUGAUGAUAACCCAUUCGAAGGUCAAGCUUGGAGAAUACUUUAGCACCUUUAAGUUGCUCGAAUAGCUCAUUGAUGCUGGGAAGUGGAUACUUGUUCUUAAUUGUCUUCUUGUUCAAUGGACGGUAGUCGACACAAAGUCGGUCCGUGCCAUCCUUCUUUUGGACAAAAAGAACACCACAACCCCACGGAGAUGAAGUCGGUCUGAUCAGACCCAGACGCUCUUGUUCAUCGAGCUGUUUCUUCAAUUCUUUCAGCUCCUUGGGUCCAAGCUUGUAAGGACGCUUGCAAACGGGUUCCGUGCCAGGCUCAAGAUCGAUAACGAACUCAACUGGCCGAUGAGGAGGCAUAGCCGGAAGCUCUUCUGGAAAGACAUCUUGGUACUCACAAACGACUGGAAUUUGAGAAAUAGCAUCCAACUCGCCCUUCUCAUUGAGAGAAAACAACCGAAUGGUUUCAUCACGAGCGGCAUAGAUGAUCACAUCCUCAGAAGAGUGUGUCAAUUGAAUUUCCUUGGCAGCACAAUCAAGUUGAGCCUUGUGCUUAGAAAGCCAGUCCAUCCUGAGAAUUAGAUCAAUAUCCGAGUCACCAAGGACAAUUGGAUAAGACAGAAAUUUAUAAUUGCCCAUCUUGAUAGAGAUAUCCCAAACCAAGGAGCUUGCGUUCAUGAAUUUACCCGGAGAGACAACUGAUAACGGUCUAGGCAAAUCUUGAAAAACCAACUCAUGCUUAGAUGCAAAAGGUCUAGAGAUGAAAGAAAGCGAUGCACUAGUAUCAAAUAAAACUUUUGCAGGAAUAUCAUUAACUGAGAGAUUACCCAUUAUCACAUCAGUAGAUUCCUCCGCUUGAGCUGCAUUCAUCAUGUUCACCUUUGCAGACUUGGGAUUAUGCUUGACCACUGCAUUGCUGGAAGAUCUCACAGGAGGAGGAGGCGGAAGGCGCCUUUGGUUGAAGCACUUGUUAGCAUAGUGAACUUUCUGCUGACACUUGUUGCAAGUCACCUCUGAGAGUGGACGAUGAUAAGGAGCAUUCGACUUUGGAGCUUGAUUCUGAGACUUGUUCUGAUAGACAGGGUUGGGUGGGUGGGAAGAUCCAUGGCCACCUUUGUUCUUCUGCUGGAAAGGCUGACGAAACGGAGGAGGAGGAGGAGGCAACCAGAACUUCUGUUGCUUAGCAGCCACUAGUGAGGAAGAAGAAGACUGAACUGCGUCCCUGACUCUCUUCUUAGAAGCCUCACACUUGAGCUGAGCAGCCUCUUGUUUCAGUGCCAUAUUGUAGAAAUCAUCAUACUUGGUCGGCUCAAAAAGCACGAGAGGUAAUUGCAGAUCUUCUCUGAGGCCACCUCUGAAUUGAUAGAUCAUGCUCUUUUCAUCAGGAACGUCUUGCUUAGCGAAGCGAGCGAGUUUCUGAAACUAAGUAUUGUAUUGAUACACGGACAUGCCGCCUUGCUUGAGAUUGCGGAACUCCUCACGCUUGCUCUCAAAAACACUUUGUGGAAUGUGGUGAGCUUUGAAGUCUCGGCGGAAAUCAUCCCAGGUAAUCACACGACCUCCUCUGGAAUCUUUGUAUUGUUGAUACCACUCGGCAGCUUGAUCCUUGAGUUGAAAAGAAGCGAACUUGAAAAAGUCCUCAGGCCUGACAUUGCUACAUUCAAAAUGCCUGUUGAUGUCCAUGAGCCAAUCAUCGGCGUCUGUGGCCUCGGCACAGUAGCUGAAAGACUUCGGCUGAUUUGCGAGGAACUGGUUGAGGGUAGCGAAGUGAGGCUGAUUGUUGCCUUGGCCUUGAUUUCCUUGAUUGCCUUGCCCUUGGGUGCGCUCUUGCAAGAGUUGCAAAAUCAUCUGAGCAUUGGCGUUGGUGGCUGCCAUGAUAGCUUGCCAUGCCUCCAGAGGCGGAGGUGGUGGCGGAGGGUUCACCUGACUCCCCUCAUCGCGUUCCGGAUUCUGACGCGUUGGCGGAGCCAUCCUGAAGUGGGUGACAUCCAUUAGCAUCUUGAUAGACAAAUAGACAAGUUGAAUCAACGGAUAGAAAUUGCAACAUAUAGUCUUCACAAAAAAACAUUCGAACGAGGAUGAAAGAAUGAAUUCCAUAGUAAAUCAUCACACUUCCAUAAGGUGAGAAGCCACUUUAAAGGGUUGAUGAAUAAAAUAACAAGGUACGACUGGAACAAAUAAGUGGUAAGGAUUACCCAAUCACAAACCAAAUAUCUGCGGGAAGAAAUGCUAAGAGCUACUUGAAUCCCACCUAUAAACUCCCGAAACUUUCUGGUUAUGCAAUCUGGUGUUGGGGAUACAGGGGACACAAAAUAUAUCACCCAAACUAGCAAUCCCUAGAUCCAGCUGUAUCCAUCCGUCAACACAUAACCAAGAAACCUUCGGAAAUCGUGUACCUCAACCUUCGAAAAGCAUCCGUUAUACGAGUUAUGGCAAUACUCCCGAACUCACACCCCAGUACUGGGUGGCGUCGAGGUGAUCUCACUAACAACUGCAUAAAAGAGAUUUUUGAUGUCGGCAAAAAUCAGGUAUUCCAGAACUGCAACGAUAAAAUUGUGACGACAACACCUCGGAGCUCAACUCCCCGGGACACUGCCACAACCCCUAAAUGUCAGGAGGCACCAAGAACAAUGUUCUCGUCACAAAACCAUCGGAACGAUUCCAAGAUACCCACGUGAUCCUAAAUUUUUUUUAGUGAAAUUUGAGGAGAGGAGAGUCAAAACUUCUACGUCAGGAGACCUCACCAGAGCGACGAAGGGACUGAGGAGUAAAAGAAUCCUACUCUCCGAUAUAUAUAAUCCUAAGACUCAAAACAUUUUUUUCUAGACUCAACAACGCCAGCGAUUCGAUCAAGCAGGGGGCUCCUAAGUCGGGGAUGGCUCUGAUUACCAACUUGUAACGCCCACGAUGCGGCUAUAUCUCCCACGUGUCGAGGCACGACUUAGAGGCAUAACCGCAUUGUAGGUAUUGCCGCAAGAAGGGUCAUCUUCACACAAUCCCAUGUAAUGAACAAGAAUGGGAUAACGAGAGUUGGCUUACAAUCGCCACUUCACACAAUACAUAAAUUAAUUCAUAGAUCAUCCAAAAUCCACACAUAGACCGACUACGGUCAAAACCAAAUGAAAAUAAGAUAACCCCAAAUGCUAGAUCCCCGAUCGUCCCAACUGGGCUCCACUACUGAUCAUCCGGAAACGAAACAUAGUAACGACCACAUUCCUCGUUGAACUCCCACUUGAGCUCGGUUGCGUCACCUGCACUGGUAUCGUCGGCACCUGCAACUGUUUUGGUAGAAUCUGUGAGUCACAAGGACUCAACAAUCUCACACCUGCGAGAUCAAGACUAUUUAAGCUUGUAGGAAAGGAUGGAGUAAUGAGGUGGAGCUGCAGCAAGCACUAAGUAUAUGGUGGCUAACAUACGCAAAUGAGAGCGAGAAGAGAAGCAACGCAACGGUCGCGAAACUAGAAAUGAUCAAGAAGUGAUCCUGAAACUACUUACGUUCAUGCAUAACUCAAACCGUGUUCACUUCCCGGACUCCGCCGAAAAGAGACCAUCACGGCUACACACACAUUUGAUGUAUUUUAAUUAAGUCAAGUGUCGAGUUCUCUACAACCGGACAUUAACAAAUUCCCAUCUGCCACAUAACCGCGGGCACGGCUUUCGAAAGAUAAUACCCUGCAGGGGUGUCCAAACUUAGCCCAUUAUAAGCUCUCACGGUCAACAAAGGAUAAACCUUCUCCCGGGAAGACCCGAUCAGUCUCGGAAUCCCGGUUUACAAGACAUUUCGACAAUGGUAAAACAAGACCACAAAGCCGCCCGAAUGUGCCGACAAAUCCCGAUAGGAGCUGCACAUAUCUCGUUCUCAGGGCACACCGGAUGAGCCAGACGUCGGGUUGGCAUAGACCCUGGUUGCCCAGGGGGCGCCGGACAUCGCUCGGUUUGGGCCAGCACUCGAAGCAGCACUGGUCCGGGGGUUUAAAAUAAAGAUGACCCUCGGGCUCGCGAAAACCCAAGGGAAAAAGGCUUAGGUAGGCAACUGUAAAACCAAGGUUGGGCCUUGCUGGAGGAGUUUUAUUCAAGGCGAACUGUCAAGGGGGUCCCAUAAAUCACCCAACCGCGUAAGGAGCGCAAACUCAAGGAACAUAAUACCGGUAUGACGGAAACUAGGGCGGCAAGAGUGGAACAAAACACCAGGCAUAAGGCCGAGCCUUCCACCCUUUACCAAAUAUAUAGAUGCAUUAAUUAAAUAAGAGAUAUUGUGAUAAUCCAAAAUAUCCAUGUUCCAACAUGGAACCAACUUCAACUUCACCUGCAACUAGCAACGCUAUAAGAAGGGCUGAGCACAAGCGGUAACUUAGCCAAACAACGGUUUGCUAGGAAAGGAUGGUUAGAGGCUUGACAUGGUAAUAUGGGAGGCAUGAUAUAGCAAGUGGUGGGUAGCGCAACAUAGCAAUAGAACGAACAACUAGCAAAGCAAAGAUAGAAGUGAUUUCGAGGGUAUGGUCAUCUUGCCUGCAAGGUUCUCAGAGUUGUCGAAAGCUUGAUCCUCGUAAGCGUACUCAACAGGUUCCUCAUUCACGAACUCGUCUCCCGGCUCUACCCAAAGCAAGAACACAAACAAUGGAACCACAAUCAAUCAUGAGAGAUGCACAAGCAACAUGAUGCAAUACAUGCAUGAUAUGCGAGAUGUGAUAUGCGAUGCAUAUGCGUGCUCCGGAAGAAAAAGGAUGAACAAGGCAGCAACUUGGCAAACCAAGUAUUCCACUGGAAAGGUGAGAUGAUUUCGGUCGAAAUCGAUGUAAAGAUCACCGGAAACGGAUGCACAGUUUGCAAAUGGCGAGCAAAACAAGAAUGACACGAUUCUUCGAUUAACAGCAUGAUAGCGCUUAGAAUACAUCAAGUAACUAUACUACAGCACCCCAACAUAGCAACAAAGCAUAUGGCAGUGAUCUACAAGAGAUGCUUGCCAAAAUAUGAACACUGAGCUACGGCUAGAUCACAAAAUAAUAGGCUCAAACAAGCAUGGCAAAAGUGCAAAAGAUAUCAGCUUCACAGACUUGGUGAAAAUACUGAACAUGGCUGAAACAGCAUCAGGUAGCAAUGUUCAGAGCAAGCAAAAAACAUGCUACAGGAACUUAUCAUAGCGAAACAAGGCAUGGCAUGAAUCUUCUAAAUGCAUAGAACAAAAGUCCCUUACUGACCAUGAGCCAAAAAGGAUCAGAAGAUAUGAUGGCACCCAUGUAAACAUAGCAAGUUUCGUUAACAGGUUUCAGACUUGGCAGAAAACAGAGCAUGUCAUUAACAGAAUUAUGAAGGCAUCUUUGUGAGCUCGAUUCACUCAUCACAAAGCAAUGCAUGACAAAACAAGCAUACCUACAGAAAGAUGGCAUGUUCAUGAAGCUAUCCAUGGCAAGAGCAAGUUCAUAGCAUGUAUGGAUCAACUACAACAAUCUUGGCAAAAUUGAAUAUCAUGUUAACAUUCUGCCAAGAAUAUUUUAUAUCAAAAGUAGAGCAAGAUUAAGACAUGCUAUGACACUCUAUAAUUGCAAACAGGGGCAUGGAUGGAUAAAGCACAACUAUAUCUACAAAACAUUCUUACUGAACAUACCCAAAAGAAGCAUGGAUCUCACUGUAGACACAUGGAUACAUGGCAUCAAAAUAACAGCAGGUAAAAGAAGGGGUUCCGGACACCCCCGGCAAACUAUAUGGGCCUAAUGGGCCAAGAGGGGAAACGCAGCAGCCAGCAGGGGUUCUGCGCCCCCCAUAUGGGUCUCCCCCUUCCUUCCCUCCUUCCUCCUCUCUCAUUUCCCCUCCGGUGAAAAAGGAAAGGGGGGGCCGAAUUAGACAAGGCCCCCAAGUAGGAUUCCUCCUACUUGGGGCGCCCCAUGGCUGUCCCCCUCCCCCUCCCACCUAUAUAAAUGUGGGGAGGGGGCGCCUAGAACACAGACCAACAAUUGUUAGCCGUGUGCGGUUCCCCCCUCCAUAGUUUACGCCUCCGGUCAUAUUCUCGUAGUGCUUAGGCGAAGCCCUGCGCGGAUCACUUCACCAUCACCGUCACCAUGCCGUCAUGCUGAGGGAACUCAUCUUCCUCGACACCUUUGCUGGAUCAAGAGUUCGAGGGACGUCAUCGAGCUGAACAUGUGCAGAACUCGGAGGUGCCAUACAUUCGGUGCUUGAUCGGUCGGAACGAGAUGAAGUUCGACUACAUCAACCGCGUUGUCAAACGCUUCCGCUUUCGGUCUAUGAGGGUACGUGGACACACUCUCCCCCUCUCGUUGCUAUGCAUGUCCUAGAUAGAUCUUGCGUGAGCGUAGAUUUUUUUGAAAUUGCAUGCUACAUUUCCCAACAGUGUCAUCCGAGCCAGGUCUAUGCGUAGAUGAUAUGCACGAGUGGAACACAAAGAGUUGUGGGCCGUGAUCAUCAUACUGCUUACCACCAAUGUCUUAUUUUGAUUGGGCGGUACUUGUUGGAUGAAGCCGCCCGGACCAACCUUACAUGACCACGUUCAUGAGACCGGUUCCGCCGACAGACAUGCAACUAGUUUUGCAUAAAGGUGGCUGGCGGGUGUUUGUUUCUCCAACUUUAGUUGAAUCGAAUUUGACUGCAGCCGGUCCUUGUUGAAGGUUAAAACAACAAACUUGAUAAAUCACCAUUGUGGUUUUGAUGUGUAGGUAAGAACGGUUCUUACUAGAAGCCCGUAACAGCCACGUAAAAUUUGCAACAACAAAGUAGAGGACGUCUAACUUGUUUUUGCAGGGCAUGUUGUGAUGUGAUAUGGUCAAGACAUGAUGUGAUAUACGUUGUUGUAUGAGAUGAUCAUGUUUUGUAAAAGUUAUUGGCAACUGGCAGGAGCCUUAUGGUUUUCGCUUUAUUGUAUGAAAUGCAAAUGCCAUGUAAUUGCUUUAAUUUAUCACUAUGCGUUAGCGAUAGUUGUAGGAGCAAUAGUUGGCGAGACGACUGUCAGUGUCAAAACCGGCAGAUCUCGGGUAGGGGGUCCCGAACUGUGCAUCUUAGGAUAGAAGGUAACAGGAAACAGGGACAUGAUGUUUACCCAGGUUCGGGCCCUCUUAAUGGAGGUAAUACCCUACUUCCUGCUUGAUUGACUUUGAUGAGUAUAGGGGUUACAAGAGUUAAUCUACCUCGAGAUCGUGAUGGCCAAACCCUAUAUGUCUAGCCUGUAUGAUUAUGAUCUCCCCGUACGGACUAAACCCUCUGUUUUAUAUAGACACCGGAGGGUGCUAGGGUUGUACAGAGUCAGUUCACAGAGAAAGGAAUCUUCAUAUCCGAACGCCAAGCUUGCCUUCCACGCCAAGGAGAGUCCCAUUCGGACACGGGGAAGCCUUCUAUCUUGUACCUUCUUGGCCCACCAGUCCGACCCACAUUACAUAGCCCGGACGCCCAGGGACCCCCUAAUCCAGGACUCCCUCAGUAGCCCCUGGACCAGGCUUCAAUGACGAUGUGUCCGGCACACGCAGAUUAUCUUCGGCAUUGCAAGGCGGGUUCCUCCUCCGAACACUUCAAAGCUGUUGAUUAACAAGAACUAUAUCCGACUCUGUUUAACAGUUACAACCCCCUACCGCAAGGGCAUAAUACUUAAUCAAAGAACAUGUUGUAUCUUUACUGACAGUUUUGCUGGUGGGACGUUACGUCUGACCACUUCAUUAUUUCGAAUCGUUUUUUGACCUCCCGCUUCGCGUUUCGAGACGCAGCCUUCGGUGACACGUCUUGUCAAAGCAGAGAUCGUGUCCCCUCAUUACGGGAUUCUCAUCAAUAUGGGCUUGGGAAAUCCAACCGUGCCGUUCGCACGACCCCUUGGGAAUAGGCGAGCUUUAAGGCUCGUGGGGGACGCUUGAUAUCUACUGCCUUUAUAAGGAGAUAAGGAUCCACCUUUUUACCCCACGCCUUCUCCCUCCUCAGCCUAUUCACCCUCGAGCUCCAGCGCCCUGCUACCUCUUGAGCAUGUGUUGGUUUUUCCCUUGAAGAGGAAAGGGUGAUGCAACAAAGUAGCGUAAGUAUUUCCCUCAGUUUUUGAGAACCAAGGUAUCAAUCCAGUAGGAGGCCACACGCAAGUCCCUUGUACCUACACAAACAAAUAAGAACCUUGCAACCAACGCGAUAAAGGGGUUGUCAAUCUCUUCACGGCCACUUGCAAAAGUGAGAUCUGAUAGAGAUGAUAAGAUAAUAUUUUUGGUAUUUUUAUGAUAAAGAUUGAAAAGUAAAGAUUGCAAAAUAAACGGCGCCAUAAAUAGCUCGUUGACGGGAGAUUAAUAUGAUGGAAAAUAGACCCCGGGGCCAUAGGUUUCACUAGUGGCUUCUCUCAAGAUAGCAUAAGUAUUACGGUGGGUGAACAAAUUACUGUCGAGCAAUUGAUAGAAAAGUGCAUAAUUAUGAGAAUAUCUAGGCAUGAUCAUGUAUACAAGCAUCACGUCCGUGACAAGUAGACUGACUCCUACCUGCAUCUACUACUAUUACUCCACACAUCGACCGCUAUCCAGCAUGCAUAUAGAGUAUUAAGUUCAUAAGAACAGAGUAACGCAUUAGGUAAGAUGACAUGAUGUAGAGGGAUAAACUCAAGCAAUAUGAUAUAAACCCCAUCUUUUUAUCCUUGAUGGAAACAAUACAAUACGUGUCAUUUCCCCUACUGUCACUGGGAUCGAGCACCGCAUGAUUGAACCCAAAGCUAAGCACUUCUCCCAUGGCAAGAAAGAUCAAUCUAGUAGGCCAAAACAAACUGAUAAUUCGAAGAGACUUGCAAAGAUAACCAUGAAGGAAAUAUGCCCUAGAGGCAAUAAUAAAGUUAUUAUUUAUUUCCUUAUUUCAUGAUAAAUGUUUAUUAUUCAUGCUAGAAUGGUAUUAACCGGAAACAUAAUACAUGUGUGAAUACAUAGACAAAAUAGUGUCACUAGUAUUCCUCUACUUGACUAGCUUGUUAAUCAAAGAUGGUUAAGUUUCCUAACCAUAGACAUGAGUUGUCAUUUGAUUAAUAGGAUCACAUCAUUAGGAGAAUGAUGUGAUUGACUUGACCCAUUCCGCUAGCUUACCACUUGAUCGUUUAGUAUGUUGCUAUUGCUUUCUUCAUGACUUAUACGUGUUCCUAUGACUAUGAGAUUAUGCAACUCCCAUUUAACGGAGGAACACUUUGUGUGCUACCAAACAUCACAACGUAACUGGGUGAUUAUAAAGGUGCUCUACAGGUGUCUCCGAAGGUACUUGUUGAGUUGGCGUAUUUCGAGAUUAGGAUUUGUCACUCCGAUCGUCGGAGAGGUAUCUUUGGGCCCACUCGGUAAUACACAUCAUGUCGGUGUGGAACGACACCUAUGGGAUCACAAGAAUCCCUACUAUGGUUGCCGGGGCGCAGGGUUGCGAGAAGAGCAGGAUUAGUAACCAGCAUAAGGAUCGUUUACCCAGGUUCGGGCCGCGAAGAUGCGUAAAACCCUAGUCCUGCUUUCGUGGGUGUAUUUCAGAGAGUUCUUGAGCUCUCGAACUAGCUAUGGUGAGUGUGUGGUUCGAAAGAGCCGAAUCCUUCUCCAGUAUGCCAUGGGCCUCCUUUUAUAGUCAAAAGGGGCUGCCACAGUGGCAUACAGGAGGUGGAAAGGCGUACAAUAUUGCGAGCUUAUCGCUUGUAUUACAAGACAAGACGCAUUUAAUGCGCCGCCGAGGUGUCCCCUAGCUUUAUCGGGGACGGGGGCGAGGCCCGUCCCGUCCGUCGUCGCUCUUCCUCGCUUCGACACACGCCCUGGCCAGCGAUCCGUGCGGCGCCAUGUAGGCAUGUAGGCAGCUGAGGUGGCGCGGUGGUGGAGUCUCCACGAAGAUCUGCAUGCCGCCAUGCAGGCGCUUUGAUGAGUUGGCCCGGGAGCUGCAUGUUGCCACGCAGGUGCCUGCUCAGCUGGUUGAGCUGGUAGCUGCAUGCGAACGGCGGCGGAGACUUGGUUGGUGCGGGCCUGGCGGUGGCCCUGCUGACAUCCUUGGCGAGGGCCUUGCCGGGUGGCCCGGCAAGGGUCUUGCCGUGGAGCGUUGUCGUCCCCGGCAAGGAUCUUGCCGGGGGUCUGGUGGCCUUCCUCGACAAGGAUCUUGCCGAAGAUCGUCGUCUUCUGAUCCUCAUCUGAUCUUGAAUGUUCCUUGUCUUCACAAAGAUCUGCAUGCCACCAUGGAGGUGCCUCCCGAGCCCUGGCCCAACGUGGUCGACGGUGUUGGGGACGUGGGCUCAAGGGUGGCUCGCUCCGUUGGUGUUUGGGCGUGCUGCCCCGGCAAGGGUCUUGCCGAGGCUCCUGAGGCAGUCCCCGGCAAGGGUCUUGCCGGGGGAAAACUGCUCCGCCCCUCUGCUCUUUGAGGUCUUGGUCUUGGCGUUGCUCUGGCUGCCUCGGGCUUCAGUUUUACCUCGGUUCACCUCCCCUGCUCUGCUUGGUGUGGCCGUGGGCGCGGCUCCGACUGUCCGUGCACAGGUAAAGGGGUACAAAGUUGCGCCCCUUCUUUUGUACACCGACUGGAGCCCCCGGGCCUGGGCCACACAUAAGCGCAACACGUUGUUGGGCCAGGCCCAAAAUGGUGCGCGGGCAGGCGGGGUGGUUUUUACCGCGGUAAAACUUUUCGCGCGCUACGCUUCCCACGACCCGCGCGUGGCGUGGCGUGGCAUGGAGGGGUGUGCGUGACGUGGGCGGCAUGCGUGGGGCGGUUCCCGCACGCAUGCAUCACAUCGCAGUAAAUGGGCAGCGCGACCCGCGGCUUCCCCAUAAAAAGGGAUAACCGCGGGCGCACUGUUCCUUUACCGUUCAUGCAAUCCCAAUCUCGGAAGCCCCCGCUCGUCUUCCUCUUCUUCUCCAAGCUUCGCUCUUGCUCACCGCCGUUGCGUUCCUGCCGCCCUCUGUUUUGCCUCCCUCCCCAGCCGCCAUGGCGCUGAAAUCCGCCAAGGGCAAGGGUGUGGCUAAGGAUGCCGGAACGGUGGAGCCGCCGGAGAGUGCGCUGGCGGUGCAGCGGACGCAGUCCGCCUUCUUCCCCUCGACAGUUGACGUGCUCGAGCUUCGGGAAGCCUUCAGGCCCCUGUGGGGGGUGAAGACGGGGGGAGAAAAGUUGGGGCAUCCAGCCAUGCGCGUCAUCCCCGCCAACUGCGCCGAGGCCGCCCCAAAUCGGUACCCCUUCUUUGUCGACUAUUUUUCCUGCGGGCUUUGUCCUCCCUUCUCCGAUUUGUUUAGCGACAUCAUGCACACCUUUGGCUUCCGCCUCUUGGAUUUUACCCCAAAUGCGGUGGCGUGCAUGGCCCUCUUCGCACACCUCUACGAAGGCUUCGCCGGGGUGCACCCCAACACGGCGCUCUUUCGCCAUUACUUCUCCCCUCGGAUCCAACCAUGGGGCGCCAUCUCCGGUUGCAUCACCUGGAUCUCGAGGUCCAAGGGGCGUAUCCGGAGGGCGCUAUGAAGGAGAGGUGGGAAGAAUGGCGGGGCCGGUGGUGCUGGAUCGAAGAGAAGGACCCGCCGUCGUUUUGCGAAGUUCGCCGGGCGCCGCCGGUCCGCAGAAGCGAUUGGAGCGACGUCGACGCCGACGACGAGAAGCUCAUGGUCGCCACCACCAGGAUCCUUCGGCUCACCGAGGCCGGGCUCACCCUGGAGAUGAUCGGGGCAGAUUUCAUCCGCCGCCGGAUCGCUCCACUGCACAACAAGGGGAGGCCAGCCUGGCUCUUCACGAACCCCGCCGACAUCAUGCGGCUUCGCCCCGGCCUCGACCACAACUUCACGGUAAUGGGGCACACCCACUUCUGCGAGCGGCUCUUCCAGCUCGAUGUGGGACGUGAUGGCGAGGUCGAACGGACCGGCAAGGCCGUGAGGGCCGCCGCGAAGGCCGGCAAGGUCUUCAAGGGGCCUUUGUUCAAGCCGCCGGCGGGGGUGGUCCCGCUGUGCAAUAACUCGCGCCGGACCGAGAUCAUCGCCAUGAUGCCGGACUGCAAUGCACAUGGCCCUGACCCGAGCUGGAAGGAGCCGGAGGACGUCGAGGUGCAGCAGUUUUUUGACACUCUGCACGAGGUGUACAUCAACGCCGACGCCGAGCGGUUGCUCGUCCAGGACACCACCCAGGCGGUACUGGACUACAUCGCCACCAGGGCGAGGGAAGCGCAGCUUGCCGAGGAGGACGGCAGCGCUGGUGGUGUGGAGGACAAGGCCACGACGGCCGCGGAGGAGGAGGAGCUCGCCCGAUGGGCGGCCGCCGCCGGGGAAGCCAGCAGCGCCGGCACCGAGGCUCCUCGGGUUGAGGAAGCGGCCGACGAGUCACGAGAGGAGGAAGCCGGGGCUAUUGACCCUCCGGCCACGGGGAGAGGGCCUGCGGCGGGCCACUUCCGGCGAGCCGGUGCGGCCCGUCAGGGCCGCGCGGCGGCCAAAUUCCCCGGAGGAGUCCGCGCGUCAGACGAGAGCCGCGACAACGAAGAAGGUGGUGAAGGCCGCGACAACGAGGAAGAAGGCAUCUUCUUCUUCUUCGUCCAAGCGCACGCAGACUCCGCCCUCCUCCCCUCCUCAGGCGGAUGCCGAUGCGGGGGUCACUUUCGACUUCGGAUCCCUCAGCCUGAGGAGGAAGAGGAAAACAUCAGAGGAGGAGGUGGACGACGAGUAAGUAUCUGGCUUCUUCCCGUCAUCUCUGUCUCCUCAAUCUGUGUCGCUUGUCUUGACUUGUUUUCAUCUUUGCAGGGAUGCGGAGACGCUGGCCCAAAGGGUGAAGAGGGCCAAGACCUCGGCGGGUGGCCAGCCCCCGGCUGGUACUUCAAGGGCGCCACUGGUGGUGCUGAGCAGCCCGGACAGCAGCCCCCGGCACAGCCCCCAGCGUAAGUUCAUUAUCCUCCCCUCGUCGACAUGUGUCAGGGGUAUGAUACUUUGGUGCUGACCUUGCCGGGUAUGCAGGAGAAGAGCGGCAGCAGGAGGAGCCGCAGAGGGCUACUCCCAACACGUUGCCCCCAUCGACCCCGCCGCCCCAAGGGGCGUCCCCGGCAAGGGCGCCAAGCACCGAGCCUAUGCACAUGGAGGAGGAGGAGGAGAACUUGGGUGCCGGCGGCUUUGCCUCGGCACCAAAUGUUGGUAGGGAGGGGACUUCUUCUUCCCAGCCUGGGACUGGCGCUGGUAAGUCGCUCGCCUUGCGUCCCUGUUCCUUUUUCUUUCUGGCUCUUGGCCUCGCCUCACUUCCUUCUUUGGCGUCCAGAUUCCUCCUCGGUGAACCCAGAGGACGUGGAUGCCGUCAUUGAGAACGUCGCCAAGGUCGCCGAGGCGGAUGCCGAGAAGAUCGCCGCCGAGGAGGCCACCAAAGGUGCUGCGGAGGACGCCGCCAAGGGGUCUGCCGGGGAGGCCGGCAGGGCCGCCGCUGAGGAGGCCGACAAGGGGCCUGCUGGGGAGGCCGGCAGGGCCGCCGCCGAGGAGGAGGAGGAGGUGGCUGAUGACCGGCCUUCCUCCUCCGCUGCUUCCGGCUCCGGCAAGUACCUGAGGGUGAGCGACGACUUGUUCGUUCACCUUCCAGGCGCGUCGAGCACCAGGACACCCGUUGAGGGAGAGGUGUUCGACGACGAAGUGCUUGCCGCCGCCGGGCUUGAGGUCGUGGACGAGCCGAGCGUCGGUGGCGACGGCUCCCAGGAAGAGCGGCUCCUCCACGCCAUGGGCGCCAGCUUCCGAAAGCUCCAGGUGCUCCACCGCGCCCGCCUAGACAAGGCUAAGUCCAGGACGGCGGUGGUGGAGAAGGUGGAGGCGGACCUCCAGAAGCACGUUGCCGAGACACAGGACUGGUUCCGCCAGGCUCACGAGGAGCUCAAGGCCGCCCAGGGCGAGCUGGCCAAGCGCGACGUGGAGCUCACCAUGAAGCUGGCCGACAUCGAGAAGGCCCAGGAGACGACGGAGGGCUUGGCCGCGGCGGUCGAGGCCGCCUGGACUCAGCACCAGGCCGCACUGAACUCCCAGGAGGAGGACCUCGCUGCGCGCGAGGAGAAGCUUGCCGCCACGCUUCGAGGAAAGGAUCAAGAGGUGGGGAAGCUUGUCUUGCAGCGGACUCGUGAGCUGGAGCAGUGGCACCAGGAGGCGCUCGAUGCCCAGGCCCUGGUCCACGCUGGCAAGGUGAAGGAGCUGGAGGCGGAGCGGGACGAGCUGAAGGAGCAGGCCCUGAAGCUGUCCCAGGAGAAGGACACGCUCAACGGCGCCCUGACGGAGGCGCAGGAUGCGGCCACCAGCAAGGCCGGGGAGCUCUCCGAGGCCAACAAGUCCAUCAAGGACCUCACGCUGAAGUUGGAGGGCCUUGAGGGGAUGCUCACGGAGGCCAAAGCCCGGGAGGGGGCCCUGGCCAAGGAGCUGGAGACCGAGAAGCAACUUCAGAAGAACGAGGCCGCCGAGCAUAAGGAUUUCAAGGAGGGCGUGAACCGCUGGAUCGGCCGCCUCGAGGACGUUGCCGGCAGGAUCACCGUGCAGCUGGCUACCAUGGGGAUGCCAAGCGUGAGGUACGCCCCAGAGUGCAACGGGACCACCAACGCCAAGCUGACCUUGUUCUUCGAGUGCGUUCUCGGGGCUCUGGAGCAGCUUCACGCCAACCGAGCGGCCUCGCCGGCCGCCGAGGCCCGGAGGCUUUGCCAGGGCGCCAUGACCAAGGUUCUCACCAAGGUGGCUCACUGGUACCCCAACCUCGACUUCGACGCCGCGCUGGAGAGCUUGCCGCAGGAUACCGACCUCGCGCCGCUCAGGGAGCGCAUCAAGCCCAUCAUCAGCCGUGUCGGCGGAAUUCUGAGGGUGGAGGGCCAGCGCCGAGAUUAGGCACCCCGUUUCUUUUUGUUGCUGCAAGUUCACAACCAAGACAAUUUUCAUCUUUAGUUAGAACUGCGGCAACUAGUGAUGUAAUAUAACUUCUGCAGCACUUUUGACAUUAUGCAUGUUAUUUUCCUGUUCGAUUCUCCUUUGUACGUCCACCCUACAUUAACUAGGUAGGUUUGCCGGCGUGUAAACCCAGGGCGGCGUCUUGGGGAUGGAUCCCCAUUGGCCAGCCGGGUGUGCUUGCUGCCGGGUGAACCACCUUACCGCCCUUAGCGCGGCCGCCCGAACUGUCGAGCUUGACUCGAGUCAGAGUCGGGAGCGUUGCCAAGUGCGGAAGGAUGCUCCGCCACUCUCGACGCGGCCGCUUUGAGCUGUUGAGCGGACUCGAAACAGAACAAGGGCGUUGCCAAUCGCGGGAGGGCCCCUUUGCGUGCAGGUUUUCCAUACAUAGGCAAGAUCUCCGAGGACGAUAACCUUAUGUAUAAAAGGAAAUAACUCAGGGCUCUGAAUGACUUAGCUUUUCUGUCGCCGCGCUAACGUCCUUCACGUUCGCAGGCGGCGCUCUUUUCUCCUGGCCGUCUCCUUCUUGGGAGCCAUGGUGAUGAAGAAACGCUAGGCCAGCUACUAGACCGGAUUCUCACAAUUGCGCCCCCUACCUGGCGCGCCAAAGAUGUCGGUGUGGAACGACACCUAUGGGAUCACAAGAAUCCCUACUACGGUUGCCGGGGCGCAGGGUUGCGAGAAGAGCAGGAUUAGUAACCAGCACAUAGAUCGUUCAGCCAGGUUCAGGCCGCGAAGAUGCGUAAAACCCUAGUCCUGCUUUGGUGGGUGUAUUUUAGAGAGUUCUUGAGCUCUCGAACUAGCUAUGGUGAGUGCGUGGUUUGAAAGAGCCGAAUCCUUCUCCAGUAUGCCAUGGGCCUCCUUUUAUAGUCGAAAGGAGCUGCCACAGUGGCAUAUAGGAGGUGGAAAGGCAUACAGUAUUGCGAGCUUAUCGCUCGUAUUACAGGACAAGACGCAUUUAAUGCGCCGCUGAGGUGUCCCCUAGCUUUAUCGGGGACGGGGGCGAGGCCUGUCCCGUCCGUCGCCGCUCUUCCUCGCUUCGACACGCGCCCUGGCCAGCGAUGCGUGCGGCGCCAUGUAGGCACGUAGGCAGCUGAGGUGGCGCGGUGGUGGAGUCUCCAUGAAGAUAUCUGCAUGCCGCCACGCAGGCGCUUUGAUGAGUUGGCCCGGGAGCUGCAUGUUGCCACGCAGGUGCCUGCUCAGCUGGUUGAGCUGGCAGCUGCAUGCGAACGGCGGCGGAGACUUGGUUGGUGCGGGCCUGGCAGUGGCCCUGCUGGCGUCCUUGGCGAGGGCCUUGCCGUGUGGCCCGGCAAGGGUCUUGCUGUGGCGCGUUGUCGUCCCUGGCAAGGAUCUUGCCGGGGGUCUGGUGGCCUUCCUCGGCAAGGAUCUUGCCGAAGAUCGUCAUCUUCUGAUCCUCAUAUGAUCUUGAAUGUUCCUUGUCUUCACAAAGAUCUGCAUGCCACCAUGGAGGUGCCUCCUGAGCCCUGGCCCAACGUGGUCGACGGUGUUGGGGACGUGGGCUCAAGGGUGGCUCGCUCCGUUGGUGUUUGGGCGUGCUGCCGCGGCAAGGGUCUUGCCGGGGCUGCUGAGGCCAUCCCCGGCAAGGGUCUUGCCGGGGGAAAACUGCUCCGCCCCUCUGCUCUUUAUGGUCUUGGUCUUGGCGUUGCUCUGGCUGCCUCGGGCUUCGGUUUUACCUCGGUUCACCUCCCCUGCUUUGCUUGGUGUGGCCAUGGGCGCGGCUCCGACUAUCCGUGCACAGGUAAAGGGGUACAAAGGUGCGUCCCUUCUUUUGUACACCGACACAUCACUAUAAGCCUUGCAAGCAUUGUAACUAAUGAGUUAGUUGCGGGAUGAUGUAUUACGGAAUGAGUAAAGAGACUUGCCGGUAACGAGAUUGAACUCGGUAUUGAGAUACCGAAGAUCGAAUCUCAGGCAAGUAACAUACCGAUGACAAAGGGAACAACGUAUGUUGUUAUGCGGUUUGAUCGAUAAAGAUCUUCGUAGAAUAUGUAGGAGCCAAUAUGAGCAUCCAGGUUCCGCUAUUGGUUAUUGACCGGAGACGUGUCUCGGUCAUGUCUUCAUAGUUCUCGAACCCGUAGGGUCCGCACGCUUAACGUUCAGUGACGAUUUGUAUUAUGAGUUUAUGUGUUUUGAUGUACCGAAGGUAGUUCGGAGUCCCGGAUGAGAUCGGGGACAUGACGAGGAGUCUCGAAAUGGUCGAGACGUAAAGAUCGAUAUAUUGGACGACUAUAUUCGGACAUCAGAAAGGUUCCGAGUGAUUCGGAUAUUUUUCGGAGUACCGGAGAGUUACGGGAAUUCACCGGGGAGUAUAUGGGCCUUAUUGGGCUUUAGGGGAAAGAGAGAGGGGAGGCUGCGCCCCCCCCAAUGCUUAGUCUGAAUUGGACUAGGGGGAGGGGCGGCGCCCCCUCCUUCCUUCUCUUCUCUUUUCCCUUUCCUUCUCUCCUACUCCUACUACUUGGAAGGGCUCCUAGUUCUACUAGGAAAGGGGGAAUCCUACUCCCGGUGGGAGUAGGACUCCCCUAGGGCACGCCAUAGAGAGGGCCGGCCCUCCCCCUCCACCACUCCUUUAUAUACGGGGAGGGGGCACCCCUUGGAGACACAACAAUUGAUCAUUGAUCUCUUAGCCGUGUGCGGUGCCCCCCUCCACCAUAAUCCACCUCGAUCAUAUCGUAGCGGCGCUUAGGCGAAGCCCUGCGUCGGUAGCAUCAUCAUCACCAUCAUCACGCCGUCGUGCUGACGGAACUCUCCCUCAAAGCUCUGCUGGAUCGGAAUUCGUGGGACGUCAUCGAGCUGAACGUGUGCUGAACUCGGAGGUGCCAUGCGUUCGGUACUUGGAUCGGUCGGAUCGCGAAGACGUACGACUACAUCAACCGCGUUGUGAUAACGCUUCCACUUUCGGUCUACGAGGGUACGUGGACACACUCUCCCUUCUCGUUGCUAUGCAUCACCAUGAUCCUGUGUGUGCGUAGGAAUUUUUUUGAAAUUACUACAUUCCCGAACAGUGGCAUCCGAGCCAGGUUUAUGCAUAGAUGUUAUAUGCACGAGUAGAACACAAGUGAGUUGUGGGCGAUACAAGUCAUACUGCUUACCAGCAUGUCAUACUUUGGUCCGGCGGUAUUUUUGGAUGAAGCGGCCGACAUUACGCGUACGCUUACGCGAGACUGGUUUUACCGCCGUGCUUUGCACACAGGUGACUAGCGGGUGUCAGUUUCUCCAACUUUAGUUGAACCGAGUGUGGCUACGCCCGGUCCUUGUGAAGGUUAAAACAACACUAACUUGACAAACUAUCAUUGUGGUUUUGAUGCGUAGAUAAGAACGGUUCUUGCUCAGCUCGUAGCAGCCACGUAAAACUUGCAACAACAAAGUAGAGGACGUCUAACUUGUUUUUGCAGGGCAUGUUGUGAUGUGGUAUGGUCAAGACAUGAUGCUAUAUUUAUUGUAUGAGAUGAUCAUGUUUUGUAACCGAGUUAUCGGCAACUGACAGGAGCCAUAUGGUUGUCGCUUUAUUGUAUGCAAUACAGUCGCCCUGUAAUUGCUUUACUUAAUCACUAAGCGGUAGCGAUAGUCGUAGAAGCAAUAGUUGGCGAGACGACAAUGAUGCUACGAUGGAGAUCAAGGUGUCGCGCCGGUGACGAUGGUGAUCAUGACGGUGCUUCGAGAUGGAGAUCACAAGCACAAGAUGAUGAUGGCCAUAUCAUAUCACUUAUAUUGAUUGCAUGUGAUGUUUAUCUUUUGUGCAUCUUAUUUUGCUUAGAUCGACAGUAGCAUUAUAAGAUGAUCUCUCACUAAAUUUCAAGGUAUAAGUGUUCUCCCGGAGUAUGCACCGUUGCGGAAGUUCUUCGUGCUGAGACACCACGUGAUGAUCGGGUGUGAUAAGCUCUACGUUCAAAUACAACGGGUGUAAGACAGUUUUGCACACGCAGAAUACUCGGGUAAACUUGACGAGCCUAGCAUAUGCAGAUAUGGCCUCGGAACACUGGAGACCGAAAGGUCGAGCGUGAAUCAUAUAGUAGAUAUGAUCAACAUAGUGAUGUUCACCAUUGAAAACUACUCCAUCUCACGUGAUGAUCGGACAUGGUUUAGUUGAUUUGGAUCACGUGAUCAUUUAGAUGACUAGAGGGAUGUCUAUCUAAGUGGGAGUUCUUAAGUAAUAUGAUUAAUUGAACUUUAAUUUAUCAUGAACUUAGUCCUGGUAGUAUUAGCAUAACUAUGUUGUAGAUCAAUAGCUCGCGAUGAAGCUCCCUUUUUUAUUUUUGAUAUGUUCCUAGAGAAAACUAUGUUGAAAGAUGUUAGUAGCAAUGAUGCGGAUUGGAUCCAUGAUCUAAGGAUUAUCCUCAUUGCUGCACAGAAGAAUUAUGUUAUUGAUGCACCGCUAGGUGACAGAUCGAUUGCAGGAGCAGAUGCAGACGUUAUGAACGUUUGGCAAGCUCGAUAUGAUGACUACUUGAUAGUUUAGUGCACCAUGCUUUACGGCUUAGAAUCGGGGCUUCAAAGACGUUUUGAAUGCCAUGGAGCAUAUAAGAUGUUCCAAGAGUUGAAAUUGGUAUUUCAGACUCAUGCCCAUGUCGAAAGGUAUGAGACCUUUGACAAGUACUUUGCCUACAAGAUGGAGGAGAAUAGCUCAACCAGUGAGCAUGUGCUCAGAUUGUCUGAGUACUACAAUUGCUUGAAUCAAGUGGGAGUUAAUCUUCCAGAUAAGAUAGUGAUUGACAGAGUUCUCUAGUCACUAUCACCAAGUUACUAGAACUUCGUGAUGAACUAUAAUAUGCAAGGGAUAACGGAAACGAUUCCCAAGCUCUUCGUGAUGCUGAAAUCGACGAAGGUAGAAAUCAAGAAAAACAUCAAGUGUUGAUGGUUGACAAGACCGCUAGUUUCAAGAAAAUGGUAAAUGGAAGAAGGGGAACUUCAAGAAGAAUGACAAGCAAGUUGCUGCUCAUGAGAAGAAGCCCAAGUCUAGACCUAAGCCUGAGACUAAGUGCUUCUACUACAAAGGGACUGGUCACUGGAAGCAGAACUACCCCAAGUAUUUGGCAGAUAAGAAGGAUGGCAAAGAGAACAAAGGUAUAUUUGAUAUACAUGAUAUUGAUAUGUACUUUACUAGUGUUUAUAGCAACCCCUCGGUAUUUGAUACUAGUUCAGUUGCUAAGAGUAGUAACUUGAAAUGGGAGUUGCAGAAUGAACAGAGACUAGUUAAGGGUGAAGUGACGAUGUGUGUUGGAAGUAGUUCCAAGAAUGAUAUGAUCAUCAACGCACACUCCCUAUACUUUCGGGAUUAGUGUUGGACCUAAAUAAAUGUUAUUUGGUGUUUGCGUUGAGCAUGAAUAUGAUUUGAUCAUGUUUAUUGCAAUACGGUUAUUCAUUUAAUUUAGAGAAUAAUUGUUAUUCUGUUUACAUGAAUAAAACCUUCUAAGGUUAUACACCCAAUGAAAAUGGUUUGUUGGAUCUCGAUCGUAGUGAUACACAUAUUCAUAAUAUUGAAGCCAAAAGAUGCAAAGUUAAUAAUGAUAGUGCAACUUAUUUGUGGCACUGCCGUUUAGGUCAUAUUGGUGUAAAGCGCAUGAAGAAAAUCCAUGCUGAUGGGCUUUUGCUAUCACUUGAUUAUGAAUCAGUUGAUGCUUGCGAACCAUGCCUCAUGGGCAAAGAUGACUAAGACUCCGUUCUCCAGAACAAUGGAGCGAGCAACUGACUUAUUGGAUAUAAUACAUACCGAUGUAUGAGGUCCGAUGAGUGUUGAGGCUCGCGGCGGGUAUCGUUAUUUUCUGACCUCCACAGAUGAUUUGAGCAGAUAUGGGUAUAUGUACUUGAAGAAACAUAAGUCUGAAACAUUUGAAAAGUUCAAAGAAUUUCAGAGUGAAGUGGAAAAUCAUCGUAACAAGAAAAUAAAGUUUCUACGAUCUGAUCACAGAGGCGAAUAUUUGAGUUACCAGUUUGGUCUUCAAUUAAAACAAUGUGGAAUAGUUUCACAAACUCAUGCCACCUGGAACACCAUAUCGUAAUGGUGUGUCCGAACGUCAUAACCAUACUUUAUUGGAUAUAGUGCAAUCUAUGAUGUCUCUUACCGAUUUACCACUAUCGUUUUGGGGUUAUGCAUUAGAGACAACUACAUUCACGUUAAAAAGGGCACCAUCUAAAUCCGUUGAGACGACACCGUAUGAACUGUGGUUUGGCAAGAAACCAAAGUUGUCGUUUCUUAAAGUUUGGGGUUGCGAUGCUUAUAAGAAAAGUUUCAUCCUCAUAAGCUCAAACCCAAAUCGGAGAAAUGUGUCUUCAUAGGAUACCCAAAGGAGACAGUUGGGUACACCUUCUGUCACAGAUCUGAAGGCAAGAUAUUCGUUGCUAAGAAUGGAUCCUUUCUAGAGAAGGAGUUUCUCUCGAAAGAAGUGAGUGGGAGGAAAGUAGAACUUGAUGAGGUAACUGUACCUGCUCCCUUAUUGGAAAGUAGUUCAUCAUAGAAAUUUGUUCCUGUGACUCCUACACCAAUUAGUGAGGAAGCUAAUGAUGAUGAUCAUGUAACUUCAGAUCAAGUUACUACCGAACCUCGUAGGUAAACCAGAGUGAGAUCCGCAUAGAGUGGUACGGUAAUCCUGUUCUGGAGGUCAUGUUACUUGACCAUGAUGAACCUAUGAACUAUGAGGAAACGAUGAUGAGCCCAGAUUCCGCAUAAUGGCUUGAGGCCAUGAAAUCUGAGAUGGGAUCCAUGUAUGAGAACAAAGUGUGGACUUUGGUUGACUUUCCCGAUGAUCGGCAAGCCAUAGAAAAUAAAUGGAUCUUCAAGAGGAAGACGGACACUGAUAGUAGUGUUACUAUCUACAAAGCUAGACUUGUCGGAAAAAGGUUUUGACAAAGUUGAAGGUGUUAACUACGGUGAGAUUUUCUCACCCGUAGCGAUGCUUAAGUCCGUCUGAAUCAUGUUAGCAAUUGCCGCAUUUUAUGAUUAUGAAAUUUGGCAAAUGGAUGUAAAGACUGCAUUCCUGAAUGGAUUUCUGGAAGAAGAGUUGUAUAUGAUGCAACCUGAAGAUUUUAUUGAUCCUAAAGGUGCUAACAAAAUGUGCAAGCUCCAGCGAUCCAUCUAUGGACUGGUGCAAGCAUCUCAGAGUUGGAAUAUACGCUUUGAUGAGUUGAUCAAAGCAUAUAGUUUUAUACAGACUUGCGGUGAAGCCUGUAUUUACAAGAAAGUGAGUGGGAGCACUACAACAUUUCUGAUAAGUAUAUGUGAAUGACAUAUUGUUGAUCGGAAAUAAUGUAGAAUUUUCUGGAAAGCAUAAAGGAGUAUUUGAAAGGAGUUUUUUCAAAGAAAGACCUCGGUGAAGCUGCUUACAUAUUAAGCAUCAAGAUCUAUAGAGAUAGAUCAAGACGCUUGAUAAGUUUUUUCAAUGAGUACAUACAUUGACCAGAUUUUGAAGUAGUUCAAAAUGGAACAGUUAAAGAAAGAGUUCUUGCCUGUGUUACUAGGUGUGAAAUUGAGUAAGACUCAAAACCCGACCAUGGCAGAAGAUAGAAAGAGAAUGAAAGUCAUUCCCUAUGCCUCAGCCAUAGUUUCUAUAAAGUAUGCCAUGCUGUGUACCAGAUCUGUUGUAUACCCUACACUGAGUUUAGCAAGGGAGUACAAUAGUGAUCUAGGAGUAGAUCACUGGACAGCAGUCAAAAUUAUCCUUAGUGGAAUAAGGAUAUGUUUCUCGAUUAUGGAGGUGACAAAAGGUUCGUCGUAAAGGGUUACGUCGAUGCAAAUUUUGACACUGAUCCAGAUGACUCUAAGUCUCAAUCUGGAUACAUAUUGAAAGUGGGAGCAAUUAGCUAGAGUAGCUCCGUGCAGAGUAUUGCUGACAUAGAUAUUUGCAAAAUACAUACGGAUCUGAAUGUGGCAGACCCGUAGACUAAACUUCUUUCACAAGCAAAACAUGAUCACACCUUAGUACUCUUUGGGUGUUAAUCACAUAGUGAUGUGAACUAGAUUAUUGACUCUAGUAAACCCUUUGGGUGUUGGUCACAUGACGAUGUGAACUAUUGGUGUUAAAUCACAUGGCGAUGUGAACUAGAUUAUUGACUCUAGUGCAAGUGGGAGACUGAAGGAAAUAUGCCCUAGAGGCAAUUAUUUAUUUCCCUAUUUCAUGAUAAAUGUUUAUUAUUCAUGCUAGAAUUGUAUUAACCGGAAACAUAAUACAUGUGUGAAUACAUAGACAAACAUAGUGUCACUAGUAUGCCUCUACUUGACUAAGUUGUUAAUCAAAGAUGGUUAAGUUUCCUAACCAUAGACAUGAGUUGUCAUUUGAUUAACAGGAUCACGUCAUUAGGAGAAUGAUGUGAUUGACUUGACCCGUUCCGCUAGCUUACCACUUGAUCGUUUAGUAUGUUGCUAUUGCUUUCUUCAUGACUUAUACAUGUUCCUAUGACUAUGAGAUUAUGCAACUCCCAUUUAACGGAGGAACACUUUGUGUGCUACCAAACAUCACAACGUAACUAGGUGAUUAUAAAGGUGCUCUAUAGGUGUCUCCGAAGGUACUUGUUGAGUUGGCGUAUUUCGAGAUUAGGAUUUGUCACUCCGAUCGUCGAAGAGGUAUCUCUGGGCCCACUCGGUAAUACACAUUGUCGGUGUACGAAAAGAGGGGUGCGUUUUUGUACCCCUUUACCUGUGCACGGGCAGUCGGAGCCGCGCCCGCGGUCACACCAAGCAGAACAGGGGAGAUGAGCCAAGGUAAGCCGAAGCCCAAUAUAAUCAGAGCAACGCCAAGGCCAAGACCACAAAGGGCAGAGGGACGAAGUAGGUUCCCUCGGCGAGACCCUUGCUGGGGCAGCCUCAGCAGCCCCGGCAAGAUCCUUGCCGGGACAGCUCGCCCCACACAAACAGAGCGAGCCACCCUUGAGCCCACGGUCCCCAACGCCAUCAUCCACGUUGGGCCAGGGCUCGGGAGGCACCUCCGUGGUGGCAUGCAGAUCUUUGUGAAGACAUAUUCAAGAUCAGAUGAGGAUUAGAAGACAACGAUCCUCGGUAAGAUCCUUGCCGAGGAAGGCCACCAGACCCCCGGCAAGGCCCUUGCCGGGGACGACAUCGCGCCACGGCAAGACCCUUGCCGGGCCACGCGACAAGACCCUUGCCGGGCCACCCGGCAAGGCCCUCACAGAGGACGCCAGCGGGGCCACCGCCAGGCCCACGCCAACCAAGCUUCCACCGCUGUUCGCAUGCAACUGCCAGCCCAACCAGCUCGGCGGGCACCUGCGUGGCAACAUGCAGCCCCCAGGCCAACUCAUCGAGCGCCUGCGUGGCGGCAUGCAGAUCUUCGUGAAGGCUCCACCACCGCGCCACCUCAGCUGCCUGCCUGCCUACAUGGCGCCACACGCAUCGCUGGCCAGGGUGCGUGUCAAGGCGAGGAGGAGCGGCGACGGACGGGACGGGCCUCACCCCGUCCCCAAUAAAGCAAGGGGACACCUAAGCUAUGCAUUAAAUGCCUCUUGUCCUGUAAUACGAGCGAUAAGCUCAGGGCACUGUACGCCUUUCCACCUCCUGUGUGCCACUGUGGCAGCCCCUUCCGACUAUAAAAGGAGGCCCAUGGCAUACUGGAGAAGGAUUCGGCUCUUUCGAACCACGCACUCGCCACAGCUAGUUCGAGAGCUCAAGAACUCUCUGAAAUACACCCACCAAAGCAGGACUAGGGUUUUACGCAUCCUCGCGGUCCGAACCUGGGUAAACGAUCCUUGUGCUGGCUACUGAUCCUGCUCUUCUUGCAACCCCGCGCCCCGGCAACCGUAGUAGGGAUUCUUGUGAUCCCAUAGGUGUCGUUCCACACCAACAUCUUUGGCGCGCCAGGUAGAGGGCGCAAUUGUGAGAAUCUGGUCUAGUAGUUAGCCUAGCAGUUCUUCAUCGCCAUGGCUCCUAAGAAGAAGACGGCCACGGCGGUCGGCUCAUUGGGAGCCGAACGGCCCGUGCCAGUGCGGGCGGGCAGUGGACCGGUCGCAGACAGGACCCGGGCCGCGGUCCGCGAGCACCAGCAUCGCCCUGGUAGCCAGAGCCUGGCGAGCGGCGUCGUUCGCGCACCAGACGACCGGCCACACGACGCCAGAUCCAAAGACGGAGCUGGGCCCCCCGCAGGCGGCGCGGGGCCCUCCAGGGGUGUCGUUGUGCCACCUCCGGGCGGCGCAUCGACCUCCAAGACGCCCACGCCGGCGACCACUGCGCGCUCUUCCCAUGGUGUGCGCGUCGAGCAGCGCCACCACGCUGGUGACCCUGGCCACCGCCGUGGAAAGAGCCCUGUGCGUCAUCCGCGGGAUGAAGGUGUUCAGCAUGCCCGCCGAAGCGCUGGCGAAAAUGGCACACAACCGCUGGGUCGUAACAGAGCUCCUUCUAACAUAGUUAGAAGUCGAAGCGCGCCGCGAUCCACGCAGCUGUCGCCGCCACCCAUGCCAGCAGAAGCUUUGGCGCACGCUCAGCUGCUCCUCGACUUCCCUCCUGCUGUAGAGAAGCUCGACGAGUGGAGGGCCACCAUCCGGAGCCUCGUCGCCGUCGCCAACAAAGACGAUCCAUGACCAGCGGGGCCCUCGGGUCGGCGCUCCACCGAGCCACCACGUGAUGGCGCUGGGAGGACCGGGGGAGCUGCGGCCAUGAUGCACUCUCCUCCUCCUCACCAGCCGCCGCGGGCGUCUGCCUGUCAUGACGACGCUUGUGAUAACAUCUCUAUAGCGUCGUCCGACCCGCGGACCCACCGCGACCAGCGCCAGGUCCUUCAGGAACGAGCUCACGAAGACGCUCGAACCACCGUCGAGUGCUAGCGCGAAACGCGCCGCCAGUCGGACAAGCGGGCAGGACCCGCUAUGGACCACCCGGCACCGGGGGGCUCCAGCGGCCUACCUUACGAGGUGGGCUGCCCGACCUUUACUCGUGAGCUGCGGCAGUUCCAGUGGCCGUCCCACCGCACGUUCAAGCCCAACGUCGGCGAGAAGUACACUGGCAAGACCCAUCCGUCCGAGUUCCUCAGCAUCUACACCAUCGCGAUGCAGGCUGUUGGUGCUCGUGACGACAAGGUGCUUGCCAACUAUUUCCCGCUAGCGCUCAAGCCCAAUGUGAUGUCUUGGUUGAUGCACUUGCCGGUGGAUUCCAUUUCUUCUUGGUCGGAUCUGUGCCAUGAGUUCGUUGGCGCCUUCACAGGAGGCCACCAAGCUCAUGGCCAGGCUAGUGAGCUGCAUAUCAUUCCCCAGAAGGAAGGGGAGACCCUGCGCAAGUACAUCCAGAGAUUCAACCGGGUGCAGUACAACAUCCCCGAUGUUCAUCCCGCCGUUGUGAUUAGCGCGUUCCACCAGAACAUGCGCAAUCGCAAGAUGCGCGAGGAGCUGGCGAUGACCAAGAUUAAGGAUGUGGCCGAGCUCUACGUUCUGGCUGAUAGAUGCACCCGGGCUGAAGAGGGAAGGAAGUACCCCGGCGAAGACGCCGGCGCGGAAACCGACUCUACCGAUGAAGACGCCACCACCCCGACGAAGAAGGGCCGGCGUUGCAACAGGAAACGCAAAGGCAAGGUCGUACUUGCCGUUGAGGGAUCUGGCGAUACCGGUGCCGACAAGAAGGUCUAGGCAGAUGCCCCCGACAAGGAGAUUGCCGGGUGCGCCGCCUGCUGGGCCUUGGCGGCUACCGACAAGCCAGGAAGCUUCGGCAAGCAAUACUGCAAGAUCCACCGCACCAAGGGCCACGACCUCCAGAACUGCCGACAAGUCGAGCUGCUUGCUGAGAAGAAAAAGGCUGAGUACGAGAGGCGGGACAAGGAGAAGGACCGGGACGGUGCCGAGGGAUCCGGCAAGAAGCGUGGCGGCCAAGGAGGCCGCCCCGGCAAGGACAACCAGCAAGAGAGGCCCGCCCGGGGCCGCGACAAGAAACAAGAAGACGAUGAUCACGACGAGGACGAUGAGUCUGGUGAGCAAGGGUUCCAGAAGGCUACGGAGGCCAUGUGCAUCGAUGGCGGCGCCUCGCUGCAUACCUCUCACCGCCAGCUCAAGCAGUGGGCGCGUGAGAUUACAGCAGCAGAGCCGUCGUUCGACACUCAGAAGCCGCUGAAGUGGUCCAGCACGCCCCUCAUCUUUGACGCCGAGGACCACCCUGACCGCACUACCACGGUCGGGUGUUUUCCAUUGUUGGUCUCACCAACGAUACGCAACCUCAGGGUGAACAAGAUGUUGGUUGACGGCGGGGCCGGCCUAAACCUGAUCUAGCCUGUCGUGAUCAAAAGGUUGCAAAUCCCUGAUGGAGACUUCGAGGAAACGGGCACGUUUCAAUGGGUCAACCCGGGGAGGAGCCAGCCGAAGGGAAAGGUCACACUGCCCGUGACAUUUGGAGGAGAGUUGAACCACAGGACGGAGAGGAUCGUCUUUGACGUGGCCGAGAUCCCCUUGCCCUACAACGGGAUCCUCGGCCGCUCAGCACUAGCCAAGUUCAUGGCGGCGUCACACUACGCCUACAACAUGCUAAAGAUGCCCGGGCCGUUGACCAUCAUCUCCGUCCCCUCCGACAAGAAGGACACGCUGAUUUGCGCCGACUAACUCUACUGGGAGGCAGUUGCAGCGGCGGCCACCAAGGCACCUGCUCCUGCCGCUGAAGCCCCGGGAGGGAGGAAGAAGCCCGGCAAGACCUCUCGCACCCACUCCGGCAAGCGCACCUCUUCGGAGUGUUGUGAUGCCGUCGAGGACGUGCCAGAGAGCUCUACCGACAAGAGCAAGAGAUCCAGAGCCGAGCCACCGCAAACUAAGAAGGUGUCCGCCAGGGAGGAUGGCAUGGGAGGGGCCUUCACCAUAGGCUCCACCCUGGCAGCAAAUAGGAAGGCGUGCUCGUCACCUUCCUGUGGGCGAAUGUCGACGUGUUUGCAUGGCAAGCAUCCGACAUCCCCGGUGUUCCCAGGGAGGUGAUUGAGCACCACCUAGCUGUCUGCCCUCAUGCGCGGCCCGUCAAGCAGAAGGUCAGAAAGCAGGCUCUGGAGAGGCAGGAGUUCAUCACAGAGGAGAUUAGGAAGUUGGAAGCGGCAGGUUUGGUGAGGGGAGUGCUCCACCCGACGUGGUUGGCCAAUCCGAUAGUGGUGCGCAAGGCGAAUGGGAAGUGGAGACUGUGUAUUGAUUACACAGAUAUCAAUAAGGCUUGUCCUAAGGACCCCUUCCAAUUGCUGCGCAUCGACCAGAUUGUUGACUCCAUGACCGGGUGUGAUCUGUUGUCGUUCCUCGACGCCUACUCGGGCUACCACCAGAUCUUCAUGACAAGAGAGGAUGAAGAAAAGACAGCGUUCAUCACCCCAUGUGGUACAUAUUGCUUUUUACGGAUGCCUUUCGGGUUGAAGAGCACUGGCUCAACAUUUGCAAGAGCAUUCCAGAUUGGUUUUGAACCUCAGCUCCAUAGAAAUAUGGAGGCCUACAUGGAUGACAUAGUGGUCAAAACCAAGGACGGGUCAACUCUUGUGCAAGAUCUGGAAGAGACAUUUGCCAACCUGCGCGAGAUCAACCUCAAGCUGAACCUUGAGAAGUGUGUCUUCGGCGUUCCGUCCGGCAAGCUUCUCGGGUUCUUUGUGUCACAGCGCGGGGUCGAGGCAAACCAAGACAAAAUCAAGGCUAUUGAGUAGAUUCAUGCAUUAGAGUGUUGCAUCAUGUUUCUUUUUUUUUCCAGAAACUUGAAAUGGGGAAGACACAAACCCCAGCACCCCCUGUUAACAACUAGGGUUUACUAAAAAUAAUUUCAAUGAACCUGAAAUGCCCUUCUAAAAUGUUCAUCAUCUCUGCCUUGGUCUUAAACCACUGCCAAAAGUGAUGCACAAAUUUCUAGGACCUUAAGGUCACUGGAUUAAUCCAUUAGCUCUUUGAUUUUGGGCAUUUAAAUAAUAUAAAAUAUUUCAAGUGCUCAAAUAAUCCCAAACUAAAAUGUUCCAUGCCAUAUAAAUUCUAAACAGUGGCCAUGUGCAUUUUGGUGAUUUUAGGAGAUGCCUAAGUAUUUUUAAUAAUGCAACAAACUUACAGAAAAAUAAAAAAACAAGUUAAAUUAGAAAAAGAGAGAGAGAGAGAGAGAGAAAGGCCAGAGGCCACUUACCUGGCGCCCACCCGCGGCCCAGCAGAGGCCCAGCCCACCCGGCCGUGCCAGUCAUCCCCCACCUCUGCCAGUAGGUAGAGGAGGGACACCGCGACGCCGCCGCGCGCGCCAUGGCGUCACCUGCUUGCCGCCCGCGCCUCUGGAGGAUCUGGACGACGCCCACGUCGCCCGCUCGACCGCCCCGACACCUCAUUCGCCCCCAGCACCUCUCCCUCGCCUCGCCUCCGCCAUGGCCGACGCUGCCGAGCUCGCGCCGGCGUGAACCUCGCAGCCACCGUGCUCCCCUCGCCUUCCCGUGCUAUCCAGCAGCUCCGUCUCGACGCCCUCGUCCUCUCAGUCGUCACCCUCGACUUCGCCGCCUCUGCUCCGAGACCGCCGGCGACCUCCCGACGUCGUCAGCCCGUCCCCGACCGUGCCGUUUGCUUCUACAUGACCGCAGUGAGGUCUGCUACCUUCUCCCCCUGCUCGUUCUCGCUCUCGAGCUCCGUAGCAACUGCACGUAGCUCACCCGCACGCGCCGCCGCCGAGCUCGUCGCCGGCGCCACUCUGGCCACUCCCCGGCCGCGCCACCCCCACGGUUGGAUGCGGACGAGCGUCCGCAUCCCGUAGCUGUGCUCCGCGCGCCAAACGGCGCCCCGUAGGGCAAACCCGUGGCUCGCCGCCGCGUCUGGCCUCGCCGGCGGCUAAACGCCGGCGAGUUGACCCCGUUUGACCCAGGCUGACCCCCUCCCCUGAGUCAAUGACAAGUGGGGCCCGCCUGCUAAUUAACCUGGAUUAACUUUUAAUUAAUUCUAAAUUAUUUAGUUUACUAACAGUGACGCUGAUGUGUGGACCCCACACGUCAUGUUUGACCUGGACGACCCCGCUGACCAGCUGACAUCACCCUGAGGCAAUGCUGACGCAUUAAUUUAAUUACUGGAAUUAUUUUUAUACAGGAAAUUCCAGAAAAUACCCAAAACUUCUGAAAUUCAUAGAAAUUCAACCAUAACUCCAAAUGAAACAAAUUAUAUAUGAAAAAUUAUCAGAAAAUGCAAUCUAUCCAUCUGUAUCAUUUUCAUGCAUGUCAAACUAAGUUAUACCUGCUGUAUAGGUGAAAACAUGAUAAUGACAUUUUAAAUGCUAAAUGUGGAGUUUGCAUAUGAACCCUUAGUUCAUAUGGACUUCAUUUAAACUGUUGUUAGAUGCAUUAAUGUAAAUCAUAACAUUCUUGACAUGUCACGACCAUGCAUCAUAUUGUUGCAUUGCAUUGAUUGUGUUUCCUCUCUGUUGCCGGUAAUUGUCCCCUCUCGAUAGCCGUGAUUCCGACGAUGAGUUCGAUGACACCGAUGAAGAACUAUAAUAUCUUCAGAAGUGCCAGGCAAGCAAAACCCCCUUGUUCAUGCCGACACAAUCCCACUCUCUCGCUCCUGCUCUCUUUUACUGCAUUAGGACAACAACGAUUCAUCUGUUACUUGCUGCGGUAGUUGAACCCCUUAUCCUCUGCAUGACCUGUCAUUGCCACAGUAAAUAGAUGAAACCCACUAGCAUGAGUAGGAGUUGUUUGAGCCCUGAUGUGCCUACUCAUUCAUGCUUGUUUGUCAUGCCUGCUAUUGCUUAGAGUUGUGUCAGGUCUGAUUCAUCGGGGAUGAGUUGGAAUGGUGAUGAACAUGUCCUACUGUGUGUGAGCUAAGUGUGUGAACACGAUUUGGUAAAGGUAGCGGUGAGAGGCCAUGUAGGAGUACAUGGUGGGUUGUCUCAUUGAAGCCGUCCUCAUGAACUGAGUUCUGUGUUUGUGAUCCAUGAAAGAGUUACUACCACGCAUUGGGCCCGAAACCAAUGGACCCUCUCGACUUCUUAACCACCCUUGUCCUCUGUCCAGGACUUGCAAGUAGUUUCUGGUGUUUGUAGUAUGCUAGAGGCCGUGGAUAGCGCUGACCCGAGGGGUGGGCUGUGAUGCGGUAGGCACGUGGCCGGGCAUGCCGGGCGCCCGUUUGGUGUCUCGGAACCCUGUACACAUCGUUCGGGGCCGUAUGUGGAAACCUCGGCCGGACUCCCUGCGGAUGGAACCUGAAUAGGCGAUAAACCUGGACUUGAGACUUGAGUGUUAGGUAGGCUGUGGCCGACACCCUCGCUGGGCUUCCGCUUGAAGGUUGCCGAGUACAUGUCGUGUAAACGGCGGUAAGUGGUGAGAGCGUGUGUGACGAAGUACACCCCUGCAGGGUUAAUAUGAUCUAUUCGAAUAGCCGUGUCCGCGGUAAAGGACUUCUGGGUUGCCUAUAACAGUUCAUAGACAAGUGAAAGUGGAUACUCUAAAAUGCGCAAGAUAAGCGUGAGUGCUAUGGAUGGCGUUCUCGUAGGGAGAUGUGAGCGGAUCCAUAGUGGAGUAUUGAUAUGGUGAAUAUGUGGACUCGUGUGCGCCACCUCAAAAGAGUUACUUGCAGUCGUAGUUAGGAUAGCCACCGAGUCAAAGCUGGCUUGCUGCAGUUAAAUUCCACCACCCCCUUUGUUGAUACCGAUGCAUAUGUAGAUAGUUCUGAUGUAAGUCUUGCUGGGUACAUUUGUACUCACAUUUGCUUAUUUUAUGUUUUGCAGAGAGACGUCAGUCUCGCUAGUAGUUCCGUGUGGACUUCGACGUUUAGCUUGAUACCUCAGCUACGAUCUUGUGCCCUCGGCAGGAUCUAGUAAAUAGUCAGGCUUCUCAGUCUUUUUCAUUUGUAGAUGGCUGUACUCAGACAUGUUAAGCUUCCGCAUGUGUUUGACUUGUAUGCUCUGAAUGUUGGGUCAUGAGACCCAUGUUUGUAAUAUCUCGCUCCUCGGAGCCUAAUGAAUAAAUACUUGAGUCGUAGAGUUAUGUUGUGAUGCCAUGUUGUAUUUACACAUAUCGAGCAUAUUGUGUGUAUGAUUGAAAUGCUUGGUAUGUGUGGGAUCCGACAACCUAGUUGUUUAUCCUUGGUAGCCUCUCUUAUGGGGAAAUGUAGUCUUGUGCUUCCAUGAGCCAUAGUAGUCCGCUACAGCCCGGUUCACCGGAGUCCUGCUAGCCCAGCACUACUGCUCCGGAACACUUGACUGGCCGGCAUGUGUUUCACUUCGCUCUUGUGUCUGUCCCUUCGGGGGAAUGUCACGCGGUGACAUCCGGAGUCCUGCCUAGCCUGCUACAGCCCGGGUUCCCGGAGUCCUGUUAGCCCAGUGCUACAGCCCGGAUUCGCACGCUGCUGACCGACAUGCUCGAUGUUGAUUCACGUAUGCCUGUCCCCGUAAGUUAGUGCCACUUUGGGUUCACGACUAGUCAUGUCGGCCCGGGUUCUCUGUCAUAUGGAUGCUAGCGACAUUAUCAUAUACGUGAGCCAAAAGGCGCAAACGGUCCCGGGCCAUGGUAAGGCGACACCCGUGGGAAUACCGUGCGUGAGGCCGCAAAGUGAUAUGAGGUGUUACAGGCUAGAUCGGUGUGACUUAGAAUCGGGGUCCUGACAGCGUUGGUAUCAGAGCUUGACUGCCUGUAGGAUUACCAAGCCAAACUGGUCGAAGUUGUGUCUAGAAAUGCUUUAGUUAUAUAAGGGAAUUGAUUGUGGGAGGGAACGUAAACCUCUUUUUACUCCUUUACCUUAUGCCCUUCUGAUCUGAGUCACCCUCUUCUCUUCUACGGGGAUUAAGAACUAGGCUUCUCAUCUUUCUAUCAGGAUCACGUGUUACUAAUCCGUAGACUCAUAGGACUGUUGGAUUUAAGCUUCAUUUCAGUUCCUACUACUUUCGUGUAUCCAUAGCUGGCCUCAAAUUCUUGAUAUUGUGAUGAUCGAGUGGUUACGCCACCAUUUUGCAGGAUGUCUUAAAUCUUUUUGAGCAUUUACAGCCGUUAUGCUGUCCGAGUCAUCCCAGGCUUCUAAAUAAUCUGAUGCAUUUGCAAAUCCCUUCUUUCCGUUCUCGAUGUUCCUUUGGGCCAGAUUAACCACACUAAUCGUUGAGUUGAGGUACUCUGUUGCCUUGACAUAUAUGUUGGAGUUAUUAUUAUGACCCUAGGUGUCUUAGAGGACCACUUAGUAAUCUAGCAAUGCUUGCAUCCCCAGUGUGAUGAUUCUGGCCAUUAUUCUUGAAAGCAUCCCGUGAUGCCAUUUAGUUAGUAGGCAUUCUAUUUCUGGGUUCUUGAGCCCAAGAUUCACUCCACUUACCUCCUGUUGAUAGUGUUUGCUCGUUCCUUUAGGAUAUUAGUAACCUUGCGACAGUCCUCGAGGUCCAUGGUAUUUCCUUCUUCCAAAUACCAUGAACCAUUAUGGCAGAAGUUCUUUUAACCAAAAGAUCACAACCAGGGCGCUCUUGAGGAGUACUCCAUUCAUAUUGUGACUCUGCCAGUCGUUCCUCCUCUGCAUGGGUUAUCCGGAAGAAAUAUGUUGAAUUUGUUUGACAUACUAAUCCAUGCAUCCACAACUCAGAAAAACAUAUGUUCCUUUGGGUUGUCCCUCUUUAGUUAUUUUCUGGCCCUCGUCUAUCAAUUGAUAGUCAGGAGCAAUUGUGCAUUUGUGUUAUCGAUGCCUAUUAUUCUUGUGGUCUGUCAAGCCAUUCUAAUCCGGGAUGACUAGGAGAAACAAACUCUAGUACCUCGUCCAUCUCUAGGAUUGGGUCAAAGUAGUUGUAUUCCGGAGAUCAAAUGCCUAACCAGCUUUUGUUCUGUUCUACCUUCGAGUAUUACCCCCUUUAUGUCGAGAAUAUCGUAGGAAUUGCACCACCUUUUGUGAAUUCUUGACGCAGUGAUACUCCUCGCCAUCAUCAUUCAUUUCUCGGUCCCGUGUUAUUGUAACCGGAACACCGACAAGUGAAUCAUGAUGCAUGAAAUCAAUACUCCUAGCAACUCCGUUGCUUGGUAGUUAAAGGACAAUAAUUUCAUCCUUAGCGUGUUGGUUACUGAAUCACAUCCUAAGGUUGAUCGUGCUACCUAGUCCUUAUUUCCGGUGCACUCUUCGAUCAAUGAGUUAGGAUUAUUCAAUCCCUUGCUUAUUUGAUCAUAUCGUCUUGCUCUGAAAGGCGAGAUUGUUCUCGAGCCUAGUAACAUAUCGGUGGUUCGUGAUUUCCUGAAUAUCUUCUCGGAAGUAUCACUAGGUUGCUCCCUGACCGUUAUGUUGAGCUCGUGAUCAAGUUGGUUUCCUAUAAACCACCCCUUCUCCAAGAAUCUGUGUUGGAUACCCCUGAGCUGGUUGGUUGAGCUAAACAACAACUUGGAGAGUUGGAAGAUAAAAGCUUUGUCCGACUUAGUUCAUCAUUAAGGGAUAUCUUGGUGUGUGUGUGUGUGUUAAAGAAAGAUGAUAUCUUC
rnacentral:lncRNA from 1 species